rnacentral:lncRNA from 1 species
UUAGACCGAAUGGACCGAAGGAUUCUACAAGGAUAAAGAGAAGGCUAAAGUGAACGUGUAGAUUGCCUAUGUAAUAGUAUAGGUUUGUAAUGAUAAUAUUUGAUAUUAUGACAAGAACAAAUGUAACGGUUAUAAAGAACCUGGGGAAUGGUAGUAUUGUUUUGGAAUAUAUAUGAGACAUAUUCGUUCUUUUGAGGCAUUUGAAUUGAAUUUUGUGUGAACUGUAUCACCGUGGAGCACCAUAUGUCGGGUUGAAAGAGACCCGGAUUUGGGGGCGUCACAGGUUGGUAUCAAAGCAUUAGGUUAUAAAACUUAAGGGGGGAAGAACCUUAGGCUAAUAACCUCGUUAAGGAAGAGAAGUCCGAAUGAAGUAAACUCGAGCUUUACUUAAGUUGAAUGAGUCAAUAAGGUAUUGAGGAAACUCAGUACCAAAAGAUUUAAAAGAUGGAAAGUAACCAUAAAUAAAUUAAAUGUGAUUUGUGCUUAUAUGAUUCUGUGUUAUGUACUAAUCAAUAUAUGUGUUAUUGUAGGAUGUCGAUCGAUAGCUUGAUCUAUAGAGAUAUACACGCGGUGAGUGAAGAGCUUGUAAACCAAGUAGAGACUGUACCUAUGCCGGUGGCGGAGGUACCAUUAGUGAUUCUAGCGGAGUCGGAGGCAGAGGAGUACUUUUUCGAGGAAGAAUACUCAGAGGGAGAGAUGGAUAUAUCGUUAUACCUUAGUAUGAUGAAUGAUAUGGAGGAAGAAAGAGAGGUAACAUCGGUUACUAUGGUGGUACCUACAUUGGAGUCAUCACCUCCAGAUGCAAUGGAAGCAUUGUAUCUGGCAGCGCUUGACAGGAAUGUGCAACUGGGUACAGUUGUGCAGAAUCAGAGUGAAGAGAUUAGUUAUCUCCAUGAAGCUAAGAAGUCUGCAGAAGCAGAUUUUGAGUUAGAGCACGAUAAGCAGGUGCUUAUGGCAGAGCAGGCUAGGAAUUUUAAGGCAGAGGCCGAUGAGCUUCGUAGAGAACUGGGGGAGAAGGACCAGAAGAUAGCACGGAUGUCUUACAUCCAUCAGAGUGAAUAUAAGGAUUUCAAGCUGAAGGUUGCUUGUUAUUCCAUUGAGUCAGGUCAAACCCGUCAUAUGAUUAGUCGGGAUACUGUAGCAAUGAUUGCAAAUGAGAAACACGAGGAUGCUGUUAUGCAUUAUUAGAAAUCUAAAGUUAUAAAUAUGUGUGUAAUGACGUAAAAUCCUCUUUUAAAGGGUAGUCUUUUGUAAAUCCCAACUUUUGUGAAGUUCAAUUGUGGGAUAGAAAAUGUAAUAGCUUUUGGCUAUAGAGAACAAGUUGUAAAUAGUUUCAAACUAUGAAAGAGCAUAUGAAUAUAAAUAAGUUUUCAUGGAAAUGAUUUGUUAUGAUGCGAUCUGGUAUGUAGCGAUUAAUAACGAAGUAAGUAAAUAGAUAAUAAUGAAAUUUUAUUUAUUUAAUCUGAAUAAUGCUGCCUAGGAGAAGAUAACGUAAUCAGGAAGCAAAAUCAUGUAAUGAUAAUGAAGGGGGUCUGAACAACCCUAUGCAAGAGUUCGUUAAUUUAUUAACGGCUGCAUUUAACCAAACCAAGGGUAGAGUACCCGCGGAUCUUAGGGUAGCUAGAACGAUUACCUAUAAAUAGUUUAAAAGCGUAGGUCUGCCGGAGUUCAAAGGAACGACGGACCUAAUAGAGUCCCAGACAUGGGUAAAAGUAAUAGAGAAGGCGUUUUGUUAUUACAAACGUAGGUGAGCCACAGAAGUUUUCUUUUGUGACUUACCUAAGGAAGAGUAAAGCCAACUUUUGGUGGGAGGCUCACCAGGGUGGGGCUGGAACAGAGGUAGUAACGUGGGAACAAUUCAAGAAGGUUUUCUUCGAGAAUUAUUUUCCAUAUAAGACAUGUGAGGGAGGAUAAACACUGAGUUCUUAGAACUUAAGCAAGGGGACAUGACAUUUCCCCAGUAUGCAACCAAAUUCAAAUGAAUUGGCAAGGUUUGUUUCACAUCAAGUGGAUAAGGAGGAGGUGAAGGCUCGUAGAUUGGAGCAGAGCCUGAGACCCUAGCUCUAUAAUGGGAUUUUGGUGAUCUAGAGUGUUUCCUAUGGGAUCAUUCUGGAGAAGGUGAUUAUAGCAUAAGGUGAUAGUGAGUUGUAGACUUAAUACCACAAAGAGGGAAAAGAUGAGAGCAAGAGAGAGGGAGGAACCAAGGUAGAGAAUGGUAGUGGCAGUAUGCCAAAGAGACAUAAAUUUUUAACUCCGAGAAUACUGAAGUGGGACAAGGGGAUCCUAAGUGAAGGAUCAAGGUGAGUAAGACGUGUGGAAAGACUUAUCUAGGAGUCUGUCUGGAAGGGAUUAUAAAUACCUUUAAAACAUUAAGAUAGAGGAGGAGGGAUUAACUUUCGUUAAAUUAUAUUCGUGAAAAUUAUUUCAUGGAUAAUAGAAGUAAGUAGGUAUCAGUAGAUAAGUACUGUUCAUGUUGAGAGAAUUGGAGGAAAUUCUCGGUAUGAAUGGGUUGAUUAACCAUAGAGCUAUAACAAAUAGUUAUAAGUAAAGUGUGAACCUUUAGUUUUCUCAGAAAAUCUAAGGUAGUAAUUUACGGUAAUAAAAUACCGCGACAUUCUUAUUGUCGAACCAUGACGUAAGUUAGGAGGAUGUUAAGGAAGAAGAUGAGUCGUUACGGUUGCGUAUCGACUAUUGUAACAGAAGUAAGUUAGCAGUUAAUAAUAAAUACCCAUGGCCCAGGAUCGAUGAUCUAUUUGGUCAGUUGAGAGGGGCAAAGAAUUUUUAUAAAGAUAGAUGUAUUAUGGGGUAUAGUCGGUUGGAAGUAAGGAAGAAGGAGGAGGUACCUAAGAUGACGUUCAAAAUUCGUUAUGGUUAUGACAAGUUUCUGGUUAUGUCAUUUAGGUUGACUAAUGUGCGGAAGUAGGAUUUUCCGUAAGGGGCGCCAAUCAAGUUGGUGGUCAAUUUGAUAGUUACCCUUGUGGGAUGUUAUGGUUGAAGGUACCAUUAGCGUCACAGGAUUUAAAAGAAAGGUUGAUUAAGGCACCUGUAUUAUCUUUAUCAGAUGAUACAAGGAAGUUUUGUAGUGUAUCUCGAUGUUUGCAUAGAUGUUAUGAUUGCGUGCUCUUAUAGCAUGGCAAUGCCAUUGUGUAUGCAUCACGCCAGUUAAAGGGUUAUGAGGAGGUCUAUCCUACUUAUUAUCUAUAAUUGGAAGCAGUAGUUUUUGAAUUAAAAAUAUGAAGAUAGUAUUUAUACAGAGAGAAGCGUGAGAUAUACAAGGACUCUAAGAGUCUGAAAUAUAUCUCCACACAGAAGAUUUGAAUAUGUAGUAGAGAGGACUGUGAUAUCUUAUAUCAUUCAGGAAAGGUAAACGUUGUAGCCGACGCAUUAAGUAGGAGGGGUAGGGAAAGCUAUCGAUGCUAACGACUCAGAAUGAGUUAAUAACAGAAAUGGUAAGAUCAGAGUUAGAAGUUAAAUUAAGGAAUGAAGGGGUAGAAUUGUUAUUCAAAACGUAGACUCAAUCCACGAUAAUGGAGUGAGUUAAGUAAGUACAACUAAGUAACGAGGGAUGCAAGCGAAUGAAGAAGAUGAUGCAGGAUAAGUAGAAGACUAAGUAUAGUCUUAUUUUGAGGGAGGAAUUUGAGUUCCAGAUAAGUACGAGUUAAAAGAAGAAUUAAUAAAAGAAAGAUCGCGUAAUGUGUUAAUAAGUGUUUAACUUCCCACUCAGAUUAUUGAUAGGAAGAUAUAAGUCAUGUGAAUUAAGAUAAUACCUUCGAUGAAGGUGAAAUAAAAGAACCCCAAUGUCAAAGAAGCAUUGUGGGAACUCGAGAUUAAAAUAAAGAAAAAAUUAUCCUCUAUGGUGUAGGUAUUAUUAGCGAGAUUUUGGGGACAGAAUCCUUAUAAGGAGGGAAGAGUGUAACGCCUCGAGAAAAUCGGAUUUUUGAGAAUUAAAUUUUUAUUUUUAUUAAAUGAAUUUAAUGGAUUAUUUAUGGAGCAAGCUAAUUGAAGGUCGUUCUAUGACUUAAACAUAUCAGAAUGUCGUAGUAUUUUGACGUGGUAGAAUUAAAGUGUUUGAAUUUCCAAGACGAAAAUAAAAGCUUUUCGAGAAAUUUUUUGAAAAACACUAUUCACGCAUUUCUGCUCGGGAAUUAUUUUUGAACUUCCGAGAAAUACGUAACGAUAGAAUAUCGAGGUGAGAUGGAAUAUCCAAUAAUAUUUCAGUUAUGGAAAACGUAAUAUUUCGCCUGUGGACUUAAAACCUAACGUUUAAGGAAAAUGAUUUACGAGAAGGAAAUGUAAUGCGAUUAAUGAAUUAAGCGAUGAUUGUAUAAUACGUAGGUAUUGUACGAGGUAGAGAAUACGAGUAUGAUACGAGGUAUUAUACGAGUACGUAUGAAUGAUGGUAUAUCGUAUAUAUUGAAUAAAUAUACGAGGGGAAUACGAGAUGAAUACGUGAUUAUACGUUAUAAGGCUUUAAGCUCAAUGUAUUGAAUUUGUAGAAUUGGUAGGAUUUGUUAAGUAUUAUGUGAGCCAAGUAAAGAAUGGUUAAGUCCAAUAUAAUUUAAUGUACAAACCCAAGUGUUUGUAAUGUGAAGCCCAAAGUAAAUUAAUGUAAGCCCAAAUGAUUUAGUUAAGCAAAUUAUGCUAGAAACCCAAAGUAUGAACCUAUGGGUUAUAGGAUGGUUUAAACCCAUGGAGCAAUCCAUGGAUAACCCAAAGUGGUGAGUAAGAAAAGAAACUUAAGGGCUAAGUGUUGUGGGGAGAAAGUAAACUUAAUGACCAAGUAGACUUAAGGGCUAAGCAAUGGAUAACUUAAGUGGUGGGCAAGCAAAGUGCUUAUGUGUGAUUAACAAGUAUACUUAGUGAUUAAGAAAGUGUGAUGGCCAAGUUUAGGUGGUGAGCAAGUUAACUUAGUCACAAAGUAAUGAAUAGUAAGGAGGUGGAGUGGCCUAAAAGACUAAACUACCCUAACCUUGGAAAUUCUAUAAAUAGAGAGCUUGGAUUUCAUUUUGUGUGUUGAUUCAUUUUCAUCCCACAAGUUGAGAGCUUAUAUGGUAGAGAGAAUAAGCACAUAUAAGUUAGACUUCCUUGUUAGAUUUUCCACCAACAACUUAUGGCUUAUUGGUUUGAGAGAAAAAGUAAGGAAAGAUAGAAGUUGACCUUUGUUAGAUUUUCAAGAAGCAAGAAGAAGAUUAAGGUGUAGCAAGUGAAUAUACAAGAGUAAGUAUUCUUGAACCAUGAUUCUUUUUCUCUUCCAUUGUUAGAGAAGGGGGUAUUGGUAGAACUAGUAUGCUAAGUAAUGAUAAAUCAAAGGGCUAAAGUCUUAAUAAGCCGUAAUAAGUCACGAACAAGUCAUUUCUACUUAUAUAAGUUAUGAACUUAUGAAGAUCUUGUAAGAACUUGUCAUAUGAUAAUGGUGAUGAAGUUAGUAGGAACUUAAUAAGAAAUUGUAAGAACUUGUAACAUUUUUACAUUAAUGGCACUAGUAUGAUAAGAAGAUGCAAGAAUGAUGGUUAAAAGAUUAAAGCCAUCAUAAAUCAUAAGAAAUAGAAUUAUAAGUAGUUUAUGAGUUUUGAACUUAUUAAGAACAAGUAAUAACUUAUUAUGUUUAUAAGUUAAUGAAGCUUGUAUGUCAAGAUGUUAGUAUAAUGGAUUGAAUCUAAGUGAAAUGGUUUAAAAAUCUCAAGUAACGAAGUUUCUCCGGAAUUUACACGAUUAGACGACGAUCGUCGAAUUCGUGAAAUUCUCGGAAUGGAAGUCGAAUUUUGAUAUUGAGCUUGGAGACAUUGGUUCUCAAUGGAGACAAGUCGUAUUUGUCAUUAUAGAGUUGCGGACUCGAAAAUGGCCGGAUUCCGACUUAGAACGAAGAAACGAGCGUUGAACGUUCACGAACGUUUAUCAUUUUCGUGAAAAAUGGACUAAUAGGUGAAAUUUUAGCAAACAAAGUCGAAUAGAUAAAAUUCUUGCAUGAACGCAUAGAGUACAUAAUUUGUGAACCGUAGGCUCUUGAAUGAGCCAAUUCAAACUUAUAACGAAGAAGUUACCAGUCCGGGAAUCUCGCAAAGUUGAAAAUCUGUCAAAACUAUCUGUGGCUCAGAGUCCGCGCCGCGGCGCGACUCCAAGCUUAAAUGACCGGUGCCGCAGUGCCAAAGUGAGCUCCAGACACUGCAAACUCACCCCGCAGCGCGAUAGUUAACAAAGGGACUCGCGCCGCAGCGCCGAGUCCGGUCUCCAAUCCAUAAUGGGCGACGCCGCAGCGCGGCACAACAAAGGGUCACCGGUGCCGCAGUGCCAACCUUAAAAGCUAGGCAGAAAUGAAUGGUUUCAAGUAAAGAUGAAGGAAAAUUGUUUAGUAAUGAACUAAGGAACUUAAUCAUACAUUAUUAAGUUAUAAUUAAACCUUAAGUAUGAGCACUUAGGGUUAAAGAAAGUCAAUUAAAGAUGAACGUGAAUGAUGUGCAAUAAGUAUACUUAACCAAUGACGAUCGAGUUUCGGAUGAUAACGUAAGGACGUUAGUAAGCCGUGAGGAAGGAUAAUUAACUUGAACCGAGUUGUAUUAAUGAAAUAACUUCACUUAAGUUAUGGAAGAGACAGAAGUCGGUAAGAAUGAUGUAAAGAAUAACGGAAAGCCGGAACCAAUAAUAACAAAUCUAAUACGGGAUUAGAUUGAGAAGUAGGGUAAGAUUCUUUAGGAACUAUGUAUGUUCAUUCAUGACCUAAUGUGGUAUAUUAUGUGAUUAUGUAUUGUAGAGAUUGUAAAGACUCAAAGGAAAUGUAAUUAUUCGGUAGCAGACGCUGAAGGCAAGUUUUCCUAAACCCUUGUCUAACCUUCGUGUUAGUCAGGUUUUCAAAUGAUUCAAGUUAUGAGAUGCAUGUAUGGUUUUGAAGAAAGGGUCGAUGCCAGUUUUGUCUCGGCUAGACUAAUCUUGAUAAGUUGAUUGAUUUAUUUACAAGUCUUUCAAUAUAGAAUUGCUAACGCUAUCCUAUGCCAAUUCUUUGGUACGGAUUCAAGGUAAGCUUGAAUAUGUAUAAACAAAUGUAUUUUCAUCGAGUAUUCGAUGGGCACGUGAGGUUGCCACAACUUAAACGUACACACGUUUAAUGGAUGUAGUGUUGAUCAACAUAGGGUACUAUAGGCUGAUCACCUAGAUGUACUCGUAAGCAAUGCCGGACUUACGGACUUCGUGCCGGGUUGCCCUUUUCAAAGAAACUAUAAGACGUUCACGUCUUGAACCAGAAUUGAUGAAUUGAUGAAUAUUGUUGUUGUAAAAUGUUUUGAAGGAAAAAGGAAAGCUAUUUUGAAUUAUUGAUAGUACUUCGUAACUAUCAUCUAGUUAUUAACGAUAUACGAUUCCUAUGUUUCAAACAUACUUUUAAAAUGAAAUUGUUGUACUUGUUGAGCUUGUUAUGCUCACUCUUGCUUGAACCAUAUGCAUGCAGCUUAGACCGAAUGGACCGAAGGAUUCUACAAGGAUAAAGAGAAGGGUAAAGUGAACGUGUAAAUUGCCUAUGUAAUAGUAUAGGUUUGUAAUGAUAAUAUUUGAUAUUAUGACAAGAACAAAUGUAACGGUUAUAAAGAACCUGGGGAAUGGUAGUAUUGUUUUGGAAUAUAUAUAAGACAUAUUCGUUCUUUUGAGGCAUUUCAAUUGAAUGUUUGUGUGAACUGUAGCACCGUGGAGCACCAUAUGUCGAGUUGAAAUAGACUCGGAUUUGGGGGCGUCAAAUCAUUAAUAGUUUAAUAUUAAUUAAAUAUUAAUAAUAAUAGAAUUAUUUAAUAUUUAAAUCAUUUAAUAAUGAUUUCGGUGUUUAAAAAAUCAUGAUAAAAUAUAAUAAUUAUUUAAAAAUUAUUAUAAGUCAAUUAAAAAUAAUAUGACUGAUAUUUACAGUUAUUGAAUUACAGGAUAGCGUCUUAGACUCGAUAAUUACCCGAUAAAGCCGUCGGUACACCGACAUGUUUUAGAAAUUGAUCUGGACUUAGAUAAUUUGAUUGGAUACAUGUUUGUUUAUGAUCCAAUGACUGUUAAACAUGUGUGACAAUGUGAUUAGGUUAUGUGCUGACUGCAAUAAGCAGUAUUAUGUGUUACGAUAUGUUAUUCUAAUCAAUAAAGUUGUAAGACCCCAGCUUUUAUGAAUAAAGAUGAAUUUUCUAUAAAUAUUAUUUUUGAAUAUUAUGGAGUAAAUUUGAUAUAAUGUUAUAGUUGUGGGUAAUAUUUAUAAAUUUUGCAAAGUACGCAAGUUGUUAUAUAAUAUUCGAUUGGUCGGGGAAUAUUCAUUUUAAUAGGUAAUAUUUGUACGACGACACAAUCAUUGGUGGACCCCACAAUGAAAUUAUUGUCGAAUUAAGAAAACGACAAAAAUAUUUUAUGAAAAUAACGGCGGAAGUUUUACCGUUAACUAUUGAAACACCCGGUGUUAAAAGUACAGUAAUACGCGUGGUUGCAUAGUAGCACACGGUAUUGAUUAUUGAUGCUUACGUGAGAAGUCACUCAGUUUUGUUCAAUUAUUACUACCGUAAUUGCUGCAUAGUAUCUCACGUUAUUUGAUUCAAUUAUUGUCAAUAUUUUAUAUAUUAUUAAAUCAAUAAUUGAGACGACAAAGUUAUUAAUAUUAUUAUUUGCAAUAUUGACGAUGUCUAGAAGUUCUGUCAAGGAGAGGUUUGGUCACCUAAUUGCGCGCCAAUAGAGAAAAAUUCUUAUUGGAAAGCCCCCUCUUUCCUAGGAACGACCUGGUCGAUUAAUAUUGUGAAUUAUAAUAAUGGUGAUAGAUGUUGUUUUAUUAUUAUUAUAAAUGUAAUAAAACAAAAAACAUUUUAUAUAAAACAGAAUACUUUUUAAAAAGUUUUGUUUUAUUUGAUUAUAAAUAGAAUAUAUUAUAUUUUAUUAUACAUAGUGUUUGCAUAGUAAAAACAUUUUAUAUAAAACAGAAUACCUUUUAUAAAGUUUUGCUUUAUUUGAUUAUAAAUAGAAUAUAUUAUAUUUUAUUAUGCAUAGUGUUUGCAUAGUGCCUGCAUAGUGUUUGCAUAUUAAAAACUUUUUAUAUAAAACAUACUAUUUUUUAUAAAGUUUUAUUUUAUUUGAUUAUAAAUAGAAUAUAUUAUAUUUUAUUGCAUAGUGCAACAUAUUAUCCUUUUCAUUCUCCUAUAAAUAGGAUGCUUAGUUAGAAUUGAAAAUCACACCAGAAAUUCAGAGAAUUCUUCUUCUAUUGUCUUGAGCAUAUUUCUUUAGAGUUUAAGAAAGUUUUGAGCGUAGAAAAUAGUACAAGUUUUCUUCAAGUAUAUCCCCGCCCUACCCGUCGGAAUACUCUUCUUUUUAAGGUAAGGGGUAUUAUUCUUCCGUAUUCAUGAAGAGAGUUAUUUUCUUUCAAUACUCGUAAGGGUUGUUAUUCCAUUCUUUAUUAUUCUGUUGGAAUAACCUGUCUGUGCGGUCUAUCGCAUCCUUGGUGUAUUCUGUUCUUAUUCCAUUCUUUAUUAUUCUGUUGGAAUAUCCUGUCCGUGCGGAUUACGCAUGACCUGGUUCCAUUAUUUAUUAUGCUGUUGGAAUAUCCUGUCUGUGCGGGUUACGCAUGACCUGGUUCUAUUCUUUAUUAUUCUGUUGGAAUAACCUGUCUGUGCGGAUUACGCACGCCUGGUGAAUUCUUCUGUUAUUCCAUUCUUUAUUAUUCUGUUGGAAUAAUCUGUCUACGUGUAUUACCGCAUGGCGACAAAAAUCCAUUUGCGGUUUCAUAUAUUCUAUUCUACUCAGUUGGUUAAAGUUUUGGCUUCUAUACUCCAUGAAAUUAGUGGAAUAUCCUUGAUAUUUGCGCUUCAUCCAGUAUCUUUUCAUGGAAAUAUUCUUCUGAGCAUUCUUGAAUUUUACUCCACAAAACAGUAUCAUGUUAACAAUUUGGACGUUAUUGAUUUCUAGAUAAAUUAAAUUAUAAAUCUUUAAAAAUUUAUCCUUGAACUUGUUUUAUUGAAUUCUUAUAUCAUUGUCAUCAUCCUCAUGUUUAUAAUAUGUUGAAAGUCAUUUGUGUCCUGUAGUGCAUAGAUGGACUUGGUAUGAUUAUGACCAGGGAUUAUUCGGUAUAAUCAUGACUAUAAUGUUACAAUUGAUGUGGUAAAAAAUCCUCAUUGGCCGUAGUGCAUUGAUGGACAGUGGUUGGCAUGAUCAUGACCAUUGAUGAAUACACAAAUAUCCUUGGCACGUAGUGCAUGGAUAAUUUGUGGUUGUGAUACUAAUGAAUAUCCUUGGUCAUAGUGCAGAGAUGAUUUGGAUUAUUUAUUAAGCUGAGUCUCAGCGAUAAAAGUAAUGAAAAACCUUUUAAAUCAUAGAAGAUAGUAGAUUUUAUUAUCUACUUGACUCUUCUAAUGGAUUGCUUGUUCCACUACAGUUAAACUUGACGUUUGUUAUAUUUCAUCCGUUUAACAUUGUUGAAGGCUUAUGAUAAUUUAUUCUGCAUUAUCUUAGUCAUAAUAUUUCUUACUGGGCUAGUUGAGCUCACCCUUUUGCUUUCAUUGUUCUCUUCAGGAAAUGAGAACGUAGCAGAGACUAAUCGGGGAACGGAGUGACGGUCCAGAUGAUAUCAUUAGUAGUCCUCACUAUUCUACAAAAUAAUGUGAUAAUAAAUGUAUUGAGGACUUAUUUUGAGUUUGAAUAUUGUCUAGAAGACAAUAUUUGUAUUAAAACUCACAGCUCAUGUUGUAUAUUUAAGGUUGUAUUUGUAUUCUGUACCAUGUAUUUAGCGACUCAGAAUAGGUGAUGUAUACCUAUUUUGGGGGCGUUACAGUUGGUAUCAAAGCUUAGGGAUAUGAUCCCUGGCUAAGAUGUGAGACUGGAACUAGGAGGGGAGAGACGGGGAAUUCCUUCGUUAAUAUGACCUAAUUAAGUUUAUUUGGUAUUUAAUUGGCCGGUCAGAGUAUAGGAAUAAUAUUUACAUGUUAAUUAACCUUUGUUUUGUGGCAGUAUCUGAAAAUGACAUCCGAGAAUGUUGAGAAUAGCAAUGGAGCACAUGAGACCGUUGAGUCUCCACAUAUCAAUAAUCAGGAUAAUAUGCAUCAGGAAGGCGACAAUCCUCAUGCAAACAACAACACUGACCAAAUGAUAAAUGAUGGAAUGUUUAGAGGCUUUAUGCAAUUCAUGCAACAUAAGGCGAGAGCGACUCCUAUCCAAAAUGUAGGUAGAAACACUAGACACUCUCGGACGGUCACCGCUAAAUAGUUCAAGGAGCUGGGACCAUCAAAGUUUAUUGGAGAGCCAAAACCACUUAAGGCGGAAGUGUGGUUAAAGCAGAUCACCAAGAUAUUUGAUGUCUUGGGAUGCUCCGAGGAGCAAAAGGUUCCCUUUGCCACCUUUAUGUUUCGAGGAGAGGCAGAUUACUGGUGGGAAUCGAUAAAGCGUACUCAACCUGCCACACUGAAGAUGUCUUGGGAGAAGUUCCAAGAACUAUUCAACGAAAAGUACUUUCCCGAAAGUAUUCGUCACAUGAAAGAGGUAGAGUUCAUCAAGUUGGAGCAGAACAAUAUGACCGUGUCGCAAUACGAAGCUAAGUUUGCCGAGUUGUCCCGGUUUGCGUCUCACUUGGUUGAUAAUGAGGAGAGAAUGAUGCGGAUGUUUCUAAGAGGUUUGAAACCCGAUAUACGUCAAUACUUAAUUUCUCACAAACUGUGUUUGUAUUCAGUUAUUGUUAAUAGGGCUCAGUUAUAUGAACACGAUAACGAGUCAAAUAAACCAAGAGAAAGCAGACGACAAAAUGAUAAUACUAGUGGUAGCAGUUGUAAAACCCCAACUUAUUAUAAAUAAAAUCGAAUUUCCUCUAUUUAUUAUUGUGAAUAAUAAGGUGAUAAUUUGAUAUAAUACUUUGGUUAUGGGUGAAAUGUGCAAAUUUUGUAAAAUAAGCAAGUGGUUAUAAAAUAUUCAUUUUGUUGGGGAAUAUUCGUUUGGUCGUGGAAUAUUCUUGUUGUCGGGGAAUAUUCGUACGACGACGCAACCAUUUGUGGGCCCCAUAACGGAUAACUGUCGAAUGAAGAAAACUACAAGUUUGAGCUUUUAUAAAUAACGGCGUAAUUGUUACCGUUAACACUGUUGGAAUACCUGGUGGUUAAAAUAGAGUAAAAUGCGUGGUUACACAGUAGCACACGGUAUUGCAUAGUAUUUUUGAAAUUAUUGAUUCUUACGUAAGAAGGAACUACUCAAUAAUUGUUACAGUAAUUACUGUUCAAUAUUUUAUUUUAUUGAUUCAAUAGUUGUUGCAUUGAUAUUUUAUAUUAUUGUUGUUCAAUAAUUGUCAUUGCACAUUAUUUCCCAUUAUCAGAUCAAUAAUUCAUAUUAUUUGAAUAAUAUUAUUAGAUAACAUUAUUGGCAAUGUCUAGAAAGUUCUGUCAAAGAGAGGUUUGGUCACCUAAUUGCGCGCCAGUAAGGAGAAAUCCUUAUCGGAAAGCCCCCUCUUUCUUGGGAACUGCCUGGUUGUCAUUAUUUUGAUUCUGUAAUAUUAUUUGUAAAUAAUUAAUUAUUGAUUUAUAUGAUAAGGAAAUAUUUAUUUGAUGUGGAUAUAAAUGAUGGAUAUAUUUAUUGUGGUUAUAAAUGAAGGAAAUAAUGCUGAGGUGUUUUAUUAGUAUUUUGUCAAAUUGGAAGUAUUAAAAAUCAUCCGUUUGUGGAUUUUAGAUUUUUUCUAUCUGGAAUUUGGAAACACUUUAAGCUACAAAGUUGUAGAGAAUUCGAUUUCAUGAGGAAUGGACAUAAAAUUCGUAUUUUUCCGAUAAACGGGCUAUUUUCUAUGAAUUACUGAAGUUCCAGAAAAUAAAAUGAUUUUUAUUUAAAUGGGGUGUGACCCACUUUUGGUUGGUAUUGAAUGCACAUGGGCUGCUAUUUUUUCUUCCGAAAUGGCUGCUCAUCAAUUCAAUUGAAGCAUGCAUAGAGAUUUUAAAAAAAUAAUAAUAUUAAUUUAUUAUUUUAGUCUCCUUUGGUGUUCUAGCAUUUUCCUAUAAAUAGGCGAUUGCUUAGGUUAGAAUUGAAAAUCACACCAGAAAUAAGUUUUCUUUCUUUCUAUAUUUUCGAGCGUAUUUUUGUGAGUAUUUAUAUACUUUGAGAGUUGUUGUUCGGUACAAGCUUCCUUCGGCUUUAUAUCCGAUAUUGCGAUCAGAAGUACCGUUAUUUUGAGGUAAGGGAUGUUAUUUUAUUCCUAAAUGAUGUUAUUCUUUCAAUAUCAUUAUACUGAAAUGUUGGUAUGGAUUUUAUUGUGGAAUUUCUAUCUUUUUGUGUCGGGGUUACUAUUCACAUAUACGAUACUAUUCACGUAUACGACACUAUUAACCGAAAAAUGAAAUUUUCUUCUUUUUGUCCAAGAUGUCUAUUAUGGUUACUAUCUUUGAUUGUAUCCAUGUUUUGAUCUUUAUUUUUGAAUUCUGCUUCAAAAUUGGUUAUUAUGGAGUAUUAUUGAACUUGGAUAAACUGUAAUACGAAUCCCUAAUAUUUGUUCUUUUACCUCACAGGAUUCAUUUUCUUUAAGAUAUUUUUCAUCAUCCUCAGUCCUAAAUGAUGAUAGUGUAACGCCCGAGAAAAUUAGAUUUUUGAGAAUUAAAUUUUUAUUUUUAUUAAAUGAAUUUAAUUGAUUAUCUAUGGAGCAAGCUAAUCGAAGGUCGUUCUAUGACCUAGAAAUGUCAGAACAUCGUAGGAUUUUGGCUACGUGGUAGAAUUAAAGUGUUUUAAUUUCCAAGAUGAAAAUAAAAGUUUUCCGAGAAAGUUUCCGAAAAACACUAUUCACGCAUUUCUGCUCGGGAAUUAUUUUUGAACUUCCGAGAAAUACGUAACGAUAGAAUAUUGAGAUGAGAAGGAAUAUCUAAUAAUAUUUCAGUUAUGGAAAACGUAAUAUUUCGCCUGUGGACUUAAUUUGAGAACGUUAGGAAAAUCAAGUGUUAAGAAGUUAGUGUAAUAAUUGUAUGAUAAGUAAAUUGUGCGAGGUAGAGUAUACGAGUAUGAUACGAGGUAUUAUAUGAGUAUGUAUGAAUGAUGGUAUAACGCAUAUCAUGAACUAGUAUAUGAGUUAGAAUACAAUAAUUAUACGUAUAAUACGUUAUAAGGCUUUAAGCCAAAUGUAAUGGAUUUGUUGAAUUGUGUAGGAAAUAUAUGUAUUGUCCAAUGGGAUUAAUGAUAAGGCCCAAAUGUAGGAGAUGGUUAAGUCCAAUAUGAAUUAAUAUGAAAGUCCAAAGUAAUUUAAUGUGCAAGCCUAAGUGUUUGUAAUGUAAAGCCCAAAGAUUUAUUAAUGAAGCCCAAUGUUUGUUUAAUUACAAGCCCAAAGUAAAAUUAUGCUAGAAACCCAAAUGAUUAAGUAAGUUGAUUAAGCUAAGGCCCAAAGUAAUUAUCCAAUGGGUAAAAACCAUGGAGCAACCCAUGGAUGAUCCAAUGUGAUGAACAAGUAAACUUAGAGGCUAAGUUAGUGUGGUGAGCACACAAAGUGAUUAAUGUGAUAAUCAAGUAUACUUAAUGAUUAAGUAAGUGUGGUGACCAAGUGUUGUGGUGAGCAAGUAGACUUAGUGGCCAAGUUUACUUAAGCCUUAAGUUAGGAAUAGUAAGGAGGUGAUUAAGGAGGUGGGAUGGCCUAAUAACCAAACUACCCUAACCUUAGAAAUCCUAUAAAUAGCAAGCUUUAUUUUCAUUUGUUGGUUAUUAGUUUUUCAUCAAAUAAACACAUAAGUUGAGAGCUUAUUUGGUUAAGAGAAUAAGCACUUAUAAAGUUAGACUUCUAUUAUUAGAUUUUCCACAACAACUUAUAGCUUAAUGGCUUGAGAGAAAAAGCUAGAGUUCUUAUUAAGCAAGAAGCAAGAAGAGGAUUGAGGUUUAGCAAGUGAUCAUCAAAGGGUAAGCAACCUUAAUCCUUGAUUCUCUUUCUCUUCCAUUGUUAGAGAAGGGGGUAUUGGUAGAACUAGUAUGUUAAGGAAUGAUAAACCAAAGGGCUUAAGUCUUAAUAAGCCGUAUAAAUUAUGAAUAAGCUAUUCGUAAUCAUUUAAGUUACGAACUUAUGAAGAACAAUAAUGAAAGUAUAAGAACUUGUAAGAAGUGGUAAUAUGUUUACAUUAAGAAGUUAACAUGAUUAAUAAGAUGUAAGAAUAAGGAUAUAAGGACUUAACUUGUUAAUAAGUUAUAAGCAAUGAAAUCAAGUAUGUUAUACUUUCAUAAGUAGUUUAUAAGUUUAUGAGUUUUGAACUUAUUAAGAACAAAUAAUAACUUAUCAUGUAUAUAAGUUAACAAAGCAUGUAUGUCAAGAUGAUAGUAUGAUGGAUUGAAUCCAAUUGAAACGGUUUAAAAAUCUCAAGUAACGAAGUUUCGCCAGAAUUUACACGAUUAGACGACGAUCGUCGAAUUUGUGAAAUUCUCAGAAUAGAAGUCGAAUUUUGAUAUUGAGCUUGGAAACAUUGGUUUUCAAUGGAGACAAGUCGUAUUUGUCAUUAUAGAGUUGCGGACUCGAAAAUGGCUCGAUUCCGAAUUAGAACGAAGAAACGAGCAUUGAACGUUCAUGAACGUUUAUCAUUUUCGUUAAAAAUGGACUAAUAGGUGAAUUUUUAGUAAACGAAGUCGAAUAGAUAAAAUUCUUGAAUGAAUGCAUAGAAUACGUAAUUUAUGAACCGUGGGCUCUUGAACGAGCCAAUUCAGACUUAUAACGAAGAAGUUACGUGGCCAGGAAUCUCACUAAAAGAAAAAUCUAUCAAAAUUUGUAUGAUACACAGAGUCGGCGCCGUGGUGCGACUCAAGGCAGGAAUGGCCGGCACUGCAGCGCGAGACCGGACAUUCGCCCCUGUUAACUGGCGCUGCAGCGCGACCAAUUACACUAGGAAUGGCGCUGCAGCGCCGUGACCGAAAUUUUGAAACCUAAAGCCCACGUCGCGGCGCGAGCCCAAGAGAAAAAGAUGGCGCCUCAGCGCUAGCACUAGGUCAUGUACAGUAAUAAAGGAUUACAAGUAAAGAGAUAGAGAUAAGUAAUUAGUAAUGAACUAAUACAAUAAUAAACUUAAUGGAGCAUAAUUGCAAACCUUAAGUAAUACACUAAAGGUUAAAGAUAAGUCGGCUAUGAACAUAAAUGGUAUGCAAUAAAUGUACUUAACCAAUGACGAUCGAGUUUCGAUUAAUAACGUAAGGACGUUAGUAAGCCGUGAGGAAGGAUAAUUAACUCAAACCGAGUUGUAAUAAUGAAAUAAUUUCAGUUAAAUUAUAGAAGAGAACGAAGUUGGUAAGAACGAUGUAAAAGAAACCUGGGGAAUGGUAGUAUUGAGCCGGAACCAAUAAAUAACAAAUCUAAUACGGGAUUAGAUUGAGCAAAAGGGUAAGAUUCUUUAGGAACCAAGUAUGUUCAUUCAUGACCUAAUGAGGUAUGUUAUGUGAUUAUGUGUUGUAGAGACUGUAAAGACUCAAAGGAAAUAUAAUUAUUCGGUAGCAGACGCUGAAGGAAAGUUUUUCUAAACGCUUGUCUAACCCUCGUGUUAGCCAGGUUUUCAAAUGAUUCAAGUUAUGAGAUGCAUGUAUGGUUUUAAAGAAAUAGUCGAUGCCCGUUUUAACUUGGCUAGACUAAUCUUGAUAAGUUGAUUGAUUUAUUUACAAGUCUUUCAAUAUAGAAUUGCUAACUCUAUCUUAUGCCAACUCUUUGGUACGGAUACAAGGUAAGCUUGAAUAUGUAUAAACAAAUAUAUUUUCAUCGAUUAUUCGAUGGGCACGUGAGGUUGCCACAACUUAAACGUAUACACGUUUAACGGAUGUAGUGUUGAUCAACAUAGGGUACUAUAGGCUGAUCACCUAGAUGAACUUGUAAGCUAUGUCGAACUUACGGACUUCGUGCCGGGUUGUCCUUUUCAAAGAAACUAUAAGACGUUCACAUCUUGAACUAGAAUUGAUGAUUCAUGGAAUAUUGUUAUUGAAAAACGUUUUGAAGGAAAAGGAAAGCUAUUUUGAAUUAUUGAUUGUACUUCGUAACUAUCAUCCGGUUAUUGAAGAUAUAUGAUUCCUAUGUUUCAAGCAUGCUUUUAAAAUGAAAUUGUUGUACUUGCUGAGCUUAUUAUGCUCAUUCUUGCUUGAACCAUAUGAAUGCAGCUUAGACGAUAUGACCAAGAGAUUCGACAAGGAUAAAGCGAAGGCUAAAGCAAGUUUGUAGCUUACCUAUGUAAUAGUAUAGGUUUGUAAUGAUAAUAUUUGAUAUUAUAACAAAAGCAAAUGUAACAGUUAUAACAAACCUGGGGAAUGGUAGUAUUGUUUUGGAAUAUAUAUAUAUAUAUAUAUAUAUAUAAGACAGAUUCGUUCUUUUGAGGCUUUUCAAUUGAAUGUUUGUAUGAACUGUAGCAUCAUGGAGCACCAUCUGUCGGGUUGAAAGAGACCCGGAUUUGGAGGCGUCACAGAUAUAAUUGAAUAUCUUUGGCCUGUAGUGCAAAGAUGAAUGAUUACCUAAUGAAUAUCUUUGGCCUGUAGUGCAAAGAUGAACAGGUGUUGAGAUGAACAUGACCAACUGGUGAUACAAAUGAAUAUCUUUGGCCUGUAGUGAAAAGAUGAAUAUUCUAUUCAACAUGUAUAUUGAUUGAUAGCAAUAUGUCCUAGUACAUCUCCAUGGGGUGCUCCUGUGUUAUUCAUAAAGAAGAAAGACGGGACUAUGUCGACUUUGUAUCCGCUACCUCGCAUAUAUGACUUGUUCGACCAGUUACAAGGAGCACAAUUCUUUUCAAAGAUCAAUCUUCGUUCUAGAUAUCAUCAGCUGAAGAUUAAAACUGAGGAUAUUCCAAAGACUGCCUUCAGAACUCGGUACGGGCAUUAUAAAUACUUAGUCACAUCUUUUGGAUUGACUAAUUCUCCUGCUGCUUUUAUGGAUAUGAUGAACAGUGUGUUCAAAGAAUAUUUGGAUCAGUUCGUUGUUGUCUUUAUUGAUGACAUCCUCAUCUAUUCCAAAAGCCUUGAAGAUCAUGAGCACUAUUUGAAGUUGGUACUGCAAAGGCUUCGUGAUAACAAGAUAUAUGCCAUGCUGAAGAAAUGUGAGUUCUGGCUUGAGGAAGUAGCAUUCCUUGGGCACGUAGUGUCAAAACAUGGAGUAUCUGUCGACCCAGUGAAGAUUGAAGCCAUACAAAGUUGGGAGCAACCGAAGUCGGUAACUGAAGUGCGUAGCUUUCUGGGCUUAGUUGGUUAUUAUCGGAAAUUCGUGGAAGGAUUUUCUCGAAUCGCUACUCCGUUAACUCAGAUGACUCGUAAAGAUACACAAUUCGGUUGGAGCGAGGAUUGCGAGAAGAGUUUUCAAGAACUCAAGAGAAGACUCAUUUCGGCACCUGUUCUGACAAUACCAUCUAGUUCGGAUGGAUUUGUUAUCUACAACAGUGUUUCAGGCAAAGGGUUAGGAUGUGUUCUCAUGCAACAUGGGAAAGUCAUAGCCUAUGCCUCGCGACAACUUAAAGAAUAUGAGAGGAAUUAUCCUACUCAUGAUUUGGAGUUGGAAGUAGUCAUUUUUGCAUUGAAGAUCUGGAGACACUACCUGUAUGGGGAGAAAGUGGAGAUCUAUACAGAUCAUAAAAUCCUCAAAUAUUUCUUCACCCCAAAGAAACUCAACACGCGACAACGACGUUGGCUUGAGCUGUUGAAAGAUUACGAUCACACCAUCCAAUAUCAUCCUAGAAAAACAAGCGUGGUAGCUGACGCAUUGAGUAGAAGAUCAUAUGCGGGUACGAGUGCAAUGUUGUUAACACAAAGGUCCAUUUUGUAUAACUUUCAAAGGAUGGAGAUAGAGGUAAAGGCUCCAAGUACCCAUGUGAUGAUAUCAAAUAUACGAGUAGAACCGACUUUAAUCGAUAAAGUUAAAGCUGCUCAAGCUAUGAAUAUGGAGCUGAUGCGUAUGUAGAAGAAAGUGCAAGAAGGUGCUAUUCCAGAAGCAAGAAUUGAUGCAGAAGGAAUACUUAGAGUCAACUCCAGACUUUGUGUUCCUAACGAUUCUGACUUGAAGCAUAGAAUCAUGAUGGAGACACACAACAGACCGUUUGCAAUCCAUCCUGGGAGUACCAAAAUGUAUCAUGAUCUUCGACAUACAUUUUGGUGGAACAAUAUUAAGAGAGAGAUCACGAAGUUUAUCUCGAGGUGUUUAACUUAUAAACGUGUAAAGGCAGAGCAUCAAGUGCCCAAGGGUCCAUUACAACCACUUGAGAUUCCGAAAUGGAAGUGGGAACACAUUACUAUGGAUUUCAUUACGGGUCUUCCCAAGGUUUCUCAAGGCAUAGAUGCGAUUUGGGUAAUUGUUAAUAGAUUAACCAAGUUUGCCCAUUUCUUGCCUAUAUGAGAGACUUAUUCCCUUGAACGUCUUGUUCAUAUGUACGUAAAUGAGAUUGUGAGAUUGUAUGGCAUGCCAGUAUCCAUAGUUUCGGAUCGUGACCCAAGAUUCACUUCACGAUUUUGGGUUAGCUUGCAGAAAGCUAUGGGCACGGAUUUAUGAUUCAGUUCAGCAUACCAUCCUCAAACGGACGGGCAAUCAGAGAGGACUAUUCAAACUCUUGAAGAUCUAUUAAGACUAUGUGUCCUAGAUUUCAAAGGGAGUUGGGAUAAGUACCUACCAUUGGUGGAAUUCUCCUACAACAACAGUUAUCAGGCAAGUAUAGGUGUGGCUCCAUUUGAAGUAUUAUAUGGACGAAAGUGUCGCUCUCCAGUAUGCUGGGAUGAGGUGGGAGAAGCAACGUUGUUGGGACCAGAAUUGAUACGCAUGACUACAGAAAAGAUACAAACGAUUCGACAACGUAUACAAACGGCACAGGAUCGACAAAAGAGUUAUGCGGAUCUUCAUCGAAAAGACGUGGAAUUUAAUAUUGGGGAUCAUGUAUUGUUAUGUAUUGCUCCAUAGAAGGGAGUUACAAUAUUUGGGAAGAGGGGAAAGCUUAAUCCAAGAUUUGUUGGUCCAUUUGAGAUUCUUGACCAAAUAGAAAAUGUGGCCUAUAGACUCACAUUACCUCCAAGCAUGUCUCGUGUUCAUAAUGUUUUUCACAUAUCUAUGCUUCGUAAAUAUGUGAAAGACCCGAACAACAUUAUUGAGUUAGAACAAGACGAGAUAGCCAUUUAACAUACGAGGAGGUACCUGUUAAGAUCUUGGAUAGGAAAGAGCAUGUCCUACGCACCAAGGUUAUACCACAAGUUAAGGUGUUGUGGAGAAACCAUGUUAUUGAAGAAAUGACCUGGGAGUUGGAAUCAGAAAUGAAAGCGAAGUAUCCUCACCUUUUUGAAACACCAGGUACGUACAUCAAUUUCGAGGACGAAAUUUCAUAAGGAGGGGAGGUUGUAAGACCUCAACUUAUUAUAAAUAAAAUCGAAUUUCCUCUAUUUAUUAUUGUGAAUAAUAAGGUGAUAAUUUGAUAUAAUACUUUGGUUAUGGAUGAAAUGUGCAAAUUUUGCAAAAUAAGCAAGUGGUUAUUAAAUAUUCAUUUUGUCAGGGAAUAUUCAUUUUUGGGCCCCAUAACGGAUAACUGUCGGAUGAAGAAAAUGACAAGUUUGAGUUUUUAUAAAUAACGGCGUAAUUGUUACCGUUAACACUAUUGGAAUACCUGGUGGUUAAAAUACAGUAAAACGCGUGGUUGCACAGUAGCACACGGUAUUGCACAGUAUAUUUGAAAUUAUUGAUUCUUACGUAAGAAGGCACUACUCAAUAAUUAUUACAGUAAUUACUGUUCAAUAUUUUAUUUUAUUGAUUCAAUAAUUGCUGCGUUGAUAUUUUAUAUUAUUGUUGUUCAAUAAUUAUCGUUGCACAUUAUUUCCCAUUAUAAGAUCAAUAAUUCAUAUUAUUUGAAUAAUAUUAUUAGAUAACAUUAUUAGCAAUGUCUAGAAUGUUCUGUCAAGGAGAGGUUUGGUCACCUAAUUGCGCAUCAGUAAGGAGAAAUCCUUAUCGGAAAGCCCCCUCUUUCCUAGGAACUGCCUGGUUGUCAUUAUUGUGAUUCUGUAAUAUUAUUUGUGAAUAAUUAAUUAUUGAUUUAUAUGAUAAGAAAAUAUUUAUUUUAUGUGGUUAUAAAUGAAGGAAUUAAUGCUGAGGUAUUUUAUCAGUAUUUUGUCGGAUUGAAAGUAAUAAAAAUCAUCCGUUUGUGGAUUUCAGAUAUUUUCUGUCUGGAAUUUGGAAAAACUUAAAGCUACAAAGUUGUAGAGAAUUCCAUUUCAUGUGGAAUGGACAUAAAAUUCGUAUUUUUCCGAUAAACGGGCUAUUUUCUACGAAUUACUGAAGUUUUAGAGAAUAAAAUAAUUUUUAUUUAAAUUCGGUGGGACCUACUAUUGGUUGGUGUUGAAUGCAUAUGGGCUGCUAUUUUUUCUUCCAAAAUGACUGCUCAUCAAUUCAAUUGAAGCAUGCGUAGAGAUUUUAAAAAAUAAUAAUAUUAUUUUAUUAUUUUAGUCUCCUUUGGCGUUCUAACAUUUUCCUAUACAUAGGCGCUUAGGUUAGAAUUGAAAAUCACACCAGAAUUCUUUCUCUCUAUAUUGUCGAGCAUAUUUUGUGAGUAUUUAGAUACUUUUGUUGUUCGGUACAAGCUUCCUUCGGCUUUAUAUCUGAUAUUCCGAUUAGAAGUACUGUUAUUUUGAGGUAAGGGAUGUUAUUUUCUUCCUAAAUGAUGUUAUUCUUUCAAUAUCAUUAUACCAAAAUGUUGGUAUGGAUUUUAUUGUGGAAUUUCUAGCUUUUUGUGUUGGGGUUACUAUUCACGUAUACGGCACUAUUCACGAAUACAGCACUAUUCACUGAAAAAUGAAAUUUUCUUCUUUUUGCCUAAGAUGUCUAUUAUGGUUAUUAUCUUUGAUUGUAUCCAUGUUUUGAUCUUUAUUUUGAAUUCUGCUUCAAAAUUGAUUAUUAUGGAGUAUUAUUGAACUUGGAUAAACUAUAAUACGAAUCCCUAAUAUUUGUUCUUUUAUCUCACUGGAUUCGUUUUCUUUAAGAUAUUUUUCAUCAUCCUCAGUCCUAAUUGAUGAUAUAAUUGAAUAUCUUUGGCCUGUAGUGCAAAGCUGAAUGAUUACCUAAUGAAUAUCUUUGGCCCGUAGUCCAAAGAUGAACAGGUGUUGAGAUGAACAUGACCAACUAGUGAUACAAAUGAAUAUCUUUGGCCUGUAGUGCAAAGAUGAAUAUUUGAUUCCAGAUGUAUAUUGAUUGAUGUUACAGGGAUAAAAUAUUGAUGAUGGACUUUUAAAUCUUAGAAGAUAGUAGAAUUCUUUCUCUACUUGACUCUUCUAAUGGAUUGAUGUUUCCGCUGCGGUUGUUGAUCUAAAACUUGUUGUCUAUUGUAUUUUAUCAUAUUAUUCCCUGUUGAGGACUAAUGAUAAUUUAUUGUAUAUUAUCUUAGUCAUAAUAUUCUUUACUGGGCUAGUUGAGCUCACCCUUUUCCUUUUUGUUCCAUUUUUCUUCUCAGGAGGUGAGAACAUAGCAGGAACUAGCCGGGGUAUGGAGUGAUGGUUUAGGAUAGUGGUAUUAGUAGUCCUCACUAUUUUGUAAAAUAGUGUAUCAAUAAUUGUAAUGAGGACUCCUUUUGAGUUUGUAUACUCUCUAUUAGACAAUAAAUGUAUUCAAACUCACAGUUUAUGUGUUGUUGUAUUUUGCACGAUAAUUGUAUUACUGAAGUUGUAUUUGUUUUUGCACCAUGUAUUGGGCGACUCAGAAUGGGUGAUGUAUACCUAUUUUGGGGGCGUCACAGCAGUCAUCAAAGCGGUGACAACAAACGUGGAGGGAAUCAACAUGCCAGAAAUGGUAACCACUUCGGUGGUAAUCAUGGCCAAGACAAUAAGAAUGGACAUUUCAAGAAGAGGAGAUUCAACAAUGAUGGAAAGACGUCAGCAUCAACACCCGUUGUUAAGGAAGGAGAACGACCACCUAUCAUAUGCUUCAAAUGCUGAGGGGAAGGACAUAUCAGUUCAAACUACGCGAUGCCAUCCAAAGGGUGUUAUAAUUAUGGAAGAGAAGGUCACCUAGCCCUAUUUUGUCGUGCACCGAAGACAAGUCCAGUUGGAACGGUGACACAAAAUACCGUCCCAGACAAGUCAAAACCAGUAGUUCAAGGGAGAUCGUUUGUUGUGACCUCCCAGAAAGCAAGGAACCCGAACGAGGUCAUAACGGGUAAGCUUAUCAUAAACUCUAGCGAAGUCUAUACCUUAUUUGAUACCGGUUCUACCCAUUCUUUUAUUUCUCCUACUUGCGCUCAACGUUUAAAUUUGACUCCGGAGAAAUUAGACUUUGACUUAUCUGUUGAAACUCCGUUGGGAGAAACCUUCAUUACAUCCACUGUUUAUAAGUCUUGUUUGGUUCAAAUCGGUACCCUCACAUUACCUGUCGAUCUUAUUUCAUUGAAAAUACUUGCAUUUGACGUAAUUCUAGGGAUUGAUUGGUUAACUACUCAUCAUGCAAAAAUUGAUUAUUUUCGUAAGGUUGUUAGCUUUCAUAUUCCUAACCAACCUAUUAUGCGAAUUCAAGCAACCAAACCAUUAAAAUCAAUCACUGUCAUCUCAAGCCAUAAAGCUAUUCGUUUAUUGAAAAACGGAUGUCAAGCUUUCUUAGCUCAUGUCACGGAUUUAAACAAAAAUACGUCAGAUUUGAAUGAUAUUUCUGUUGUUAAAAAUUUUCCUGACGUAUUCCCCGAAGAACUUCCUGGCCUACCCCCGGAGCAUGAAAUCGAGUUUGGUAUCGACCUUGAACCCGGUACAAAACCCAUUUCCAAAGCCCCACAUCAAAUGGCUCCUAUUGAACUUCAAGAGUUAAAGACCCAAUUGCGGAAAUUGUUAGACAUUGGUUUCAUUCGUCCUAGUACGUCUCCUUGGGGUGCUCCUGUUUUAUUCGUGAAGAAGAAAGAUGGAAGUAUGCGACUUUGUAUUGAUUAUCGGGAGUUGAAUCAUGUCACCAUCAAAAUAGGUACCCAUUGCCUCGCAUUGAUGACCUAUUUGACCAGUUGCAAGGAGCACAAUUCUUUUCAAGGAUCAAUCUUCGUUCUGGAUAUCAUCAGCUGAAGGUUAGAACUGAGGAUAUUCCAAAGACUGCCUUCAGAACUCGGUACGGGCAUUAUGAAUUCUUAGUCAUGUCUUUUGGAUUGACUAAUUCUCCUGCUGCCUUCAUGGAUAUGAUGAACCGAGUAUUCAAGGAAUAUUUGGAUCACUUUGUGGUCGUCUUUAUUGAUGACAUCCUCAUAUAUUCCAAAAGCCGUGAAGAUCAUGAGCAACACUUGAGGCUGAUACUCCAAAAUCUUCGUGAAAACAAGCUUUAUGCCAAGUUGAAGAAAUGCGAGUUCUGGCUUGAGGAAGUAGUAUUCCUUGGGCACGUAGUAUCAAGUCAUGGAAUAUCUGUUAACCCGACAAAGAUUGAAGCUAUUCAAAGUUUGGAGCAACCUAAAUCAGUGACCGAAGUACAUAGCUUUCUCGAAUUAACUGAUUAUUAUUGGAGAUUCGUGGAAGUGUUUUCUCAAAUCGCUAGUCCAUUAACUCAGUUGACUCGAAAAGAUAUAAGCGUGGAAUGUGAGAAGAGUUUUCAAGAACUCAAGAGGAGACUCAUUUCAGCACCUGUUCUGACAAUACCAUCUGGCUCGGAGGGAUUUGACAUCUACAGUGAUGCAUCGGGCAAAGGGUUAGGAUGUGUUCUCAUGCAACAUGGGAAAGUCAUAUCCUAUGCCUCUCAGCAACUCAAAGAAUAUGAGAGGAAUUAUCCUACUCAUGAUCUAGAGUUGGCAUCUAUUGUCUUCGAACAUAAAAUUUAGAGGCAUUACUUGUAUGGGGAGAAAGUGGAGAUCUUUACGGAUCAUAAAAGAAUCAAAUAUUUCUUCACUCAAAAAGAACUCAACAUGCGACAACGACGUUGGCUUGAACUGCUGAAAGAUUAUGAUCACACUAUUCAAUACCAUCCUGGUAAAGCGAACGUAGUAGCUGACGCAUUGAGUAGAAGAUCAUAUGCGGGUAUGAGUGUGAUAUUGUCAAUGCAAAGGCCCAUUUUAUAUGACUUGCAAAGGAUGGAUAUAGAGUUAAAGACUCCAGGGCCCAACGUGAUAAUGGCGAAUAUAUGAGUAGAAUCGACUUUAAUCGAUAAAGUUAAAGCUACUCAAGCUAUAGACAUGGAACUGAUGCGUAUGAGGAAGAAAGUGCAAGAAGGUGUUAUGCCGGAAGCAAGAAUCGAUGAGGAAGGAAUACUUCGAGUCAACUCCAGACUUUGUGUUCCUAACGACCCUGAUUUAAAGUAUAAAAUAAUGAUGGAGGCGCACAACACACCGUUUGCAAUCCAUCCUGGGAGUACCAAAAUGUAUCAUGAUCUCCGACAUACAUUUUGGUGGAGAAAUAUUAAGAGAGAGAUCGCGGAGUUUAUCUCAAGGUGUCUAACUUGUCAACGAGUCAAGGCGGAGCAUCAAGUACCAAAAGGUCCAUUGCUACCACUUGAAAUUCUAGAAUGAAAGUGGGAACACAUUACCAUGGAUUUUGUUAUAGGUCUUCCCAAGGUUUCUCAAGGCAUAGAUGCAAUUUGGGUCAUUGUUGAUAGAUUGACUAAGUCGGCUCAUUUCUUACCAAUACAAGAAACAUAUACACUUGAACGUCUUGCUCGAAUAUACAUAAAUGAGAUUGUAAGACUGUAUGGUAUGCCAGUAUCUAUAGUUUCUAAUCGAGACCCAAGAUUCACUUCACGAUGUUGGGUUAGUUUGCAGAAAGCUAUGGGCACGGAUUAACGAUUUAUCUCGGCAUAUCAUCCUCAAACGGACGGACAGUCGGAGAGGACUAUUCAAACUCUUGAAGAUCUAUUAAGACUAUGUGUCCUUGACUUCAAGGGAAGUUUGGACAAGUUCUUACCAUUGGUGGAGUUUUCCUACAACAACAGUUAUCAAACAAGUAUUGGCAUGGCUCCAUUCGAGGCGUUGUAUGGAAGAAAGUGUCGUUCUCCAGUAUACUGGGAUGAGGUGGGUGAAGCAACGUUGUUGGGACCGGAGUUGGUACGUAUGACUACGGAAAAGAUUCAAACGAUCCGACAACGUAUAAAAACCUCACAAGAUCGACAAAAGAGUUAUGCUGAUCUUCAUCGAAAGGACGUGGAAUUCGAUAUUGGAGAUCAUGUGUUGUUACGUGUUGCUCCAUGGAAAGGAGUUACGAGAUUUGGAAAGAGAGGAAAGCUCAAUCCUCGAUUCAUCGGCCCAUUUUUAAUCCUCGAUCGAGUAGGAACUGUGGCCUAUAGACUCGCUUUACCGCCAAGUAUGUCUCGUGUUCAUAACGUUUUUCACAUAUCCAUGUUACGUAAAUAUGUGAAAGACCCGAACCACAUUAUUGAGUUAGAACCGGACGAAAUAGCGGAAGAUUUGACGUAUGAAGAGGUUCCUGUUCAAAUCUUGGAUAAGAAGGAACAUAUUCUACGCUCCAAGGUUAUACCUCAAGUCAAAGUUUUGUGGAGGAACCACGAUGUUGAGGAAAUGACCUGGGAGUUAGAAUCUGAAAUGAAAUCAAGGUAUCCUUACCUCUUCGACAUACCAGGUAUGUACCCUAAUUUCGAGGGCAAAAUUUCAUAAGAAGGGGAGGUUGUAAGACCCCAACUUUUAUGAAUAAAGAUGAAUUUUCUAUAAAUAUCAUUUUUGAAUAUUAUGGAGUAAAUUUGAUAUAAUAUUAUAGUUGUGGGUAAUAUUUAUAAAUUUUGCAAAGUACGCAAGUUGUUAUAUAAUAUUCGAUUGGUCGGGGAAUAUUCGUUUUAACAGCGAAUAUUUGUACGACAACACAAUCAUUGGUGGACCCCACAACAGAAUUAUCGGAUUAAGAAAAUGACAAAAAUAUUUUAUGAAAAUAACUGCGGAAGUUUUACCGUUAACUGUUGAAACACCCGGUGUUAAAAGUACAGUAAUACGCGUGGUUGCAUAGUAGCACACGGUAUUGAUUAUUGAUGCUUACGUGAGAAGUCACUCAGUUUUGUUCAAUUAUUGCUACAGUAACUGUUGCAUAGUAUCUCACGUUAUUUUAUUCAAUUAUUUCAAUAUUUUAUAUAUUAUUAAAUCAAUAAUUUAGACGACAAAGUUAUUAAUAUUAUUAUUUGUAAUAUUGACGAUGUCUAGAAGUUCUGUCAAAGAGAGGUUUGGUCACCUAAUUGUGCGCCAAUAGGGAGAAAUCCUUAUUGGAAAGACCCCUCUUUCCUGGGAACGAACUGGUCGAUUAAUAUUGUGAAUUAUAAUAAUGGUGAUAAAUGUUGUUUUAUUAUUAUUAUAAAUGUAAUAAAACAGAAAACUUUUUAUAUAAAACAGAAUACUUUUUAUAAAGUUUUGUUUUAUUUGAUUAUAAAUAGAAUAUAUUAUAUUUUAUUAUGCAUAGUGUUUUCAUAGUUAAAACUUUUUAUAUAAAAUAGGAUACUUUUUAUAAAGUUUUGUUUUAUUUGAUUAUAAAUUCAAUAUAUUAUAUUUUAUUAUGCAUAGUAUUUGUAUAGUGCCUGUAUAGUAUUUGCAUAGUAAAUUUUUUUAUAUAAAAUAGAAUACUUUUUAUAAAGUUUUGUUUUAUUUGAUUAUAAAUANNNNNNNNNNNNNNNNNNNNNNNNNNNNNNNNNNNNNNNNNNNNNNNNNNNNNNNNNNNNNNNNNNNNNNNNNNNNNNNNNNNNNNNNNNNNNNNNNNNNNNNNNNNNNNUUAUUUUCUUUCAAUACUCGUAAGGGUUGUUAUUCCAUUCUUUAUUAUUCUGUUGGAAUAACCUGUCUGUGCGGUCUAUCACAUGCCUGGUGAAUUCUGUUGUUAUUCCAUUCUUUAUUAUUCUGUUGGAAUAUCCUGUCUGUGCGGAUUACGCAUGACCUGGUUCCAUUCUUUAUUAUUCUGUUGGAAUAACUUGUCUGUGCGGAUUCGCACGCCUGGUGAAUUCUUCUAUUAUUCCAUUCUUUAUUAUUCUGUUGGAAUAAUCUGUCUACGUGGAUUACUGCAUGGCAAAAAAAAUCCAUUUGCGGUUUCAUAUAUUCUAUUAUACUCAGUUGGUUAAUGUUUUGGCUUCUAUACUCCAUGAAAUUAGUGGAAUAUCCUUGAUAUUUGCGCUUCAUCCAGUAUCUUUUCAUGGAAAUAUUCUUCUGAGCAUUCUUGAAUUUUACUCCACAAAACAGUAUCAUGUUGACAAUUUGGACGUUAUUGAUUUCUGGAUAAAUUAAAUUAUAAAUCUUAAAAAAAUUAUCCUUGAACUUGUUUUAUUAAAUUCUUAUACCAUUGUCAUCAUCCUCAUGUUUAUAAUAUGUUGAAAGUCAUCUGUGGCCUGUAGUGCAUAGAUGGACUUGGAAUGAUUAUGACCAGGGAUUAUUCGGUAUAAUCAUGACCGUAAUGUUACAAAUGAUGUGGUAAAAAAUCCUCAUUGGCCGUAGUGCAUUGAUGGACAGUGGUUGGCAUGAUCAUGACCAUUGAUGAAUACACGAAUAUCUUUGCCCCGUAGUGCAUGGAGAAUUUGUGGUCGUGAUACUAAUGAAUAUCCUUAGCCGUAGUGCAGGGAUGAUGUUGAUUAUUUAUUAAGCUGAUUCUUAACGAUAAAAGUAAUGAAAAACCUUUUAAAUCAUAGAAGAUAGUAGAUUUUAUUCUCUACUUGACUCUUCUAAUGGAUUGCUUGUUCCGUUGCAGUUAAACUUGAUGUUUGUUAUAUUUUAUCAGUUUAACACUGCUGAAGGCUAAUGAUAAUUUAUUCUAUAUUAUCUUAGUCAUAAUAUUUCUUACUAGUCUAGUUGAGCUCACCCUUUUUCUUUCAUUGUUCUCUUCAGGAAAUGAGAACGUAGCAGGUGUGACGCCCCCAAAUCCGAGUAUCUUCCAACCCGAAAGAUGGUGCUCCACGAUACUACAAUCCAUACAAUCAUUCCAUUGAGAUAACAACAAAAUGAGUGUAAUUACUAUCUUUGUAAUACAUUUGUAAUAAAUCAUUUCCCAAGUUCAUUAACCGAAUACAUUCGUUGUUCUUCGUAAGUAUAUUACAACCAAAUAUACUAAUAUAUUACAGGACGAUUAAUUGUCCAUCUUAGCCUUGCCUUUAUCUCUCUUAGAACUUUCAGUUCAUUCGGCUUUAGCUGCAAACAUAUGGUUCAAGCAAGAAUGAGCAUAACUAGCUCAGCAAGUCUUAACAAAGAAUCAUAUGAAUAUCAUAUUAACAAUUAAAUGAUUUAUUUCCAUAUCUAAACAAUUAUGUACGAAGCAGUAUGAAAUAUUUGACUAGUACUUCUCAUGUCAUAAUAACAAUUCCAAAGUAUAUAUAAUAGCUUAGGAAUGAUGGACCGGUCAAUAGACCAUGAACAUACUCUUUUCAUUUUCAUACUUGAAAAGGAUAUCCGGCACUAAGGCCAUCCAUCCGUCUUUACUUAUGAGCACUUUUAGGUGAUCAGCCUAUUGUACUCUAUGUUGAUCAACACCCUUACGUUAAACGUAUUUACGUUCAACAUUUGGCAACCUCGCGUGCCCAUCGAAUAAUCGAUGAAAAAUACUUUUGUUUGUACAUAGACAAACUUACCUUCUCAUCCGUACCAAAUACUGGGCAUAGGAUAGCGUUAACAAUUCUAUAUCAAAAGACUUGUAAACAAAUCAGUCAAUUCUUCAAUACUUAUCUAGCCAAGUUAAAAUAGUCAUCGACUCUUUCUUUAAUACCAUUCAUGCAUUGUAUAACAUGCAUCACAUAAAACUUGACUAACACGAAGGUUAGGCAAGCGUUAAGAAACACUUUCCUUCAAGCGUCUUCGAAUAUACAAUUCAACUAUUCUCAGUCUUUACAGGAUCUACAUGAUACAUUCACAUAGCACACUGUAAUUAGUUAUCAAACAAACUAACUUUACGGUUCUAACCAACUUCUUUCUCUUCUAUGUCUUAUUUGGAUUAACUUUGUUAUUAAAGUCGAUUUGAAUUUCUUUACUUCAUCACGGUUCGUUAACGUUUUUACGUUACUAACCGACAUUCAAUCAUUAUUGGUUAAGUACCAACGUUGAACGUCAUUUACAGUUUAUUUAUUACGUCUCCGCGUUCUUCGUUUAAUUUCUAUUAAACCUUACUAGAUCUUCUUACAUUAACACCUUAUAAGUGAUUUAAGGUCAGUCUUAUUAUGUACAUUAAGUACCUUCAAUGUCUUACUUUGGGUCUACAUUCAAUUGGAACAAAACCUAACUUGGUCAACAUUUUUCUACUGUCGGCGCUGCGGCGCGACAUCCUUUGUAUUCUAGUGGCGCUACGGCGCGAGUUAGCAGGGUACUCGGUCGAGUCUGGCGCUGCGACGAGACCACUUUACACUGGUUUUGGCGCUGCGGCGCCGAGUCUAUGCACCAGUUGGCCAAAACAGUUUUGUUAUUCUUAGGAAAUUCCCGGCUUCCUAAUUUGUUCGUUUUACAUCUGAAUUGACCCAUUCGAAAGCCUAAAACUCACAAAUUACAUCCUUUAUGUGUUCGUAUAAGAAUUUCACAUUUUCGAAUCCGUUAACUCAGAAUUCACCUUUGAAUUCAUUUUUAUGCAUUUGUUUAACGCUUUCGACCGUUCAAUACUGGUUUUCUUCGUUAUAAGUCGGAAUGCGACGAUUCUUUCACCAACGACUCUUAAUUACCUUAUCUCACGUGUUGACAUUGGAAACCAUUGUUUUCAAGUGACAUGACAACUUUUGACCUUUAAUCCGGGAUUUUUACAUUUUUGACGUUUAACGUCUAUUUUCGCAAAAUUCGUCAUAACAUUGUUACUCGUGUUCUAUAAGCCAAAUCAAAUGGAAAACUCCAUUGAUUCUUCAUAGUCAUCCUAACCAAACAAUAGGCACAUUCCUUAGCUAUAAUGGUUUUCAAAACGUUCAUCCCUAAACUAAGUUCACGUUCAAGACUUCUAUGUUUUUUUUAACUUACGUAAACACUUACGAUUUCUAUUUGGUCAUGACCUAUCAAUGAUUUGGUCAUUAAUAGACAUCCUUAUAUCUCCUCAAUAAACAUGCUCCACCAAUCUACAAUUCUUCUACGAGAAAUAAAUCGAAAAAGAUGAUGAUUACGGUUUAUGAGAAUUUACCUUUGAAGAAAUUAACGUUCUUGAUAAACGUCUAUUGGUUUGCUUGCAAGUAGAAGGAUUAAGCGUUUCUAGCUCUUUCUCUCUCUCAAUAUGUAUUGGUCAAGCUUUGUAAAACCUCAAAUAACCAACUCUUGCUUUGUAUAUAUAGGCAACCAACUAAGGGGCAAUAUAGUCCAUAUGGCACCUCCUUACUAUUACACCUCCUUUGCAACUUUGUCACCAAGUAAAGUACGUGGUGAGCAAGUUGUCUACCUUGCUUGGCCCACUCCCUUGUGGAUCAUACCAUGGGUUUCCCCAUGCGUUUUACCCAUCCCAUGACCCACCGGUUCGACCCGCGGUUUACUUUUUGGAUUGGGCCUGACAUAAAUUAAAGUUGGGCCUUAACUUGGGCUUGAACACUUAAUUCAUUGGGCUUGCUAUUGGUUUAAGUCCAAUUAGAUUAUACCAAACCCUUAACUCAUACUCCAUUUAUACAUCUCGUAUUCUAUACAUAUAACUCACGUAUUCUCUUCGUCUAAUACUCAUAUAUUAAUCGUAUUAUACGUCGUACUAUUUUUCAUACCAUACUCGUAUUUAUACUAGUAUAAUACUCGUAUUUCAUACGUAUAAUAUCUGAAACAACUAUACGCAUUGUAUUUCCCUUUCGGAAACCUCUUUCACAAACCCUUAGUUUUUACGUCCACAAGCGAAAACUUCGUUUGCCACAACAGAAUUAUUAUUGGAUAUUCCAUACUAUCUUAGUAUUCUAUCAUUACGCGUUUCUCAAAAUUUCAAACCCUAGCUCUGAAUGAAAUCGGAUGAAUAGUGUUUUUAUGCAAACAUUAUCGAAAAACCUUUGUUUUCGUCUGGAUAAUUCACAACCAUUAAUACUAGCACAAAGACAAAAUACUAACCACAUCCGUAUUUUCUAGGUCAUAGAACGACCUUCGAACGUCUUACUCGCAUAAUAAAUCAAUUAAAUUCAUUUAAUUCACAUAAUCAAAUAAAAAUUUAAUUCAUUCAAACUUCGAAAUUCUCGGGCAUUACAACAGGCACUAGUCGGGGAACAGAGUGACGGUCUAGAUGAUAGCAUUAGUAGUCCUCACUAUUCUAUGAAAUAGUGUGAUAAUAAAUGUGUUGAGGACUUAUUUUGAGUUUGAAUACUGUCUAGAAGACAAUAUUUGUAUUAAAACUCACAGCUCAUGUUGUAUAUUUAAGAUUGUAUUUGUAUUCUGUACCAUGUAUUUGGCGACUCAGAAUAGGUGAUGCAUACCUAUUUUGGGGGCGUCACAAAAAUGAUCUUAUUACUGAUAGGUUGCUAUAUAAAAGAUAAAACUAAGUUGAAUAAUUGUAAGCAGCAGACCGGGCAAGUAUCCUACCUUUGCAUUUACUUUAUACAAUGGACAUAAGUAAGAAAGUUUCAGAAUUAUAUUAUUAUUGUGCCAGAUUAUUAACCUUAUUGUUAUAUAUAUUAUAUCUGAUCAUUGUUUAUCAACAUAGUAUUAUAUUAUUAUUCAAAUAUUUAUUAAGUUCGUUAAUUUCUAUAUAUGGUUAUACAAGUGUCCUCACUUGGAUAAUCAUUGUAUUUAAUCAAAUGUUAAUACACAUUUAUAAAUUUCUAGUAUGUAUAUGUUAACUUAAAAGCCGUCUAAGCUAAUUGAUUUAGCUAGACACAAACUUAUAGAUUAUUAUUGAACAAGAUAAAACCUUACUAUUAUCCAACCGAAUUAUUUUGGUUUGGAAUCCCGACUAAGUAUGAACAUCCCGUACAUGUGAAAACUUUUUGUGCGCCAAAGGCGGAUAGAUGAAAGAUAAUAUCGUUAUUGCAUGUAGUAUUGAUCAAUACAGGGCAUAACGGGUUGAUCACCCCCCGUGCCUGUAAGUUAUGACGGUUUACAGAUGAAGUUCUGUUUAACCUUUUCAAAAAUAGAAAACAAUGUUCAUAGUCUAUCGACUAAUCCCUAGAUAUAGUCAGUACGUAGUUUCAAAAAUUUGAUAUAGAAUUAAUAUAUUAUUAUUUGUUCAGUUUACUUCACAACUAUUGAUUCGUUGUAGAAGUGUCGUACAAAGAAAACAUUUAAUCCUUUCAACUAAUAUUUAUAAUUUCUAUUACUUGCUGGGCACUCAAAUGGUCAUCCUUGCUUAAUUUAUAAUGUUUUCAGCUAAGUGUGAACAACCUGAAGGCUCUACUAAGAACAAGGGAAAAGGAAAGGUUACUGAAUGAGUUCUGUGUUAUCUUAUGUAAUAGUUUAUCUUUAUUAAGACUAUGAUACUUAUUAGUAUCAUGUAUUGUAAUGAAUGUAUUAAAGGGUACGCACUUGGGAUUAGACUCUGAUAAAUAUGUAAAUUAAGUUUGGUAUCUAUAUUAUUGUUGUUAUUAUUAGUAUUAUUUUCGCUCAUAGAAAUGGUAUCAUAAAGCACCGAGUUCGGGUUUCAAGUACCUGAAUUUGAGGGCGUUACAAGUUGGUAUCAGAGCUUUAGGGUUAGAAACCUUAGGUGGGAUAGACCUUAGGCUAUACCCUUAGAACAGAGGGAACGUUGAAAAUACAAAUAACUCAUAUCGAGUUUAAAAGGUGAUGAAUUGAAUAAAUUCAUCGUCCAACAAAAUAAAAGAUAACUUAUAUAAAACUAUUAUUUGCUGUGUGUAUAUACUAUAUGCUAAUCAGGAUAAUAUAUGUGUGUAGAUGUCAGGUGGAAAAGGUUUGUUAUAUGCUUAUAGCAUGAUGAAGGAUCAAAUUCAUACACCUGAGCUAAUAUCGAGGCCAAUAGCUGAAAUAGAGGCUCACAAUGAAGCCAACUCGGAUGAGGUGGUUAUUUUAGAAAACGUAGUACUAGAUCCAGAAAUGGUGGAAUUGACAGAUAAUGAUUUGGAUACUAAAGUUGAAGCUGAUCAAGCAUCAACGAAGGUGAUAAAUCUGAACGACAAGGUUUCUUCUUUGGAAAAACUGUGAGAAAUAGAAAAGUUGUUGAAUAGUCAAUUGCCAAAAGCCUUAAUCGAAACAAUGGAAGAACAAGAUAAGCUUAAAAUCCAAAUUGAUCAGAUGGGAACCAAAAAUAAUAUAUCGUGUGCAGCUCCGAAAAAGAAGGGGAAAAGAAAGAUAAAAGACCAUGACUUAGGAAGAUCCGAUACGAAGAAAUGGAAAAAGAUAUGUUACAUUUGCGGCUAUGAGGGAUGAUAAGUAGGUUUUAUACCUACUUAUCUGGUAUCUAUUACUUGAAUUAGUUGCUUAAACCUAUGCUUCUUAGUUAAUUUUCAUACAUUUUAUGUUAUUUUGUAGGCUAUGACAUAACAUUGGCAUGAAGAAGCAAGGGAAAGAAAUUCGGACAUCUUUUGGACCAAAAUACGCAAGCAAAUACAAAAAAAGAAUAUUGAAGGACUUUAAACACCACGUUGGAUGCAUGUUCUUGGCUUUGAGUUAGGAAUUUAUUGUAGAUCUACUUCUUAGCUUUCCAGAACAUCUUGAAUCAUCCCAAUCAGAGUUCAGAUGCGAGAGUUAUGGCCUUUUUAUCAACAAAGAUCAAAGCUAAGAGUUGUCAUGUUUGCCAUUUAUAUAACAUCUACUUCAAGCCCGAUUUCCACCUUUCUUAGGACGGAAUCUGUCAAUCUUCAAAGAAUGAAAUUUGUAGAUCUCGUCGAUAUCUUCGAUUGGAUAGGUGGCAGACCCCGUAACUCCUAGCAGAUCAAAAGGUAUGCCUAUUUUAUCAAAGGACGUCGCAGCAGAAAAUAGCGUAGCGCGGACCGCGCUAUGAAUGAACUAUGCAUAGCGCGGGGCGCGCUAGUCCACCAGAAAGUCGGCCACUGCAGUGCGGGGCAUGUCCAGAAUGACUAAGGGACAGCGCGGGGCGCGCUAGGCGGCGAGGGGGCAACCUUUUUGGGUUAUUUGGUGUCCAAUUUGAGCUAGAAUAGGAUUCUUAGUUACCUAACUUGCUAGGAUGUCCAUUAUAACUAUAAAUACAUGAUGAGAGACAUAAAAGAGGAGAAAUAGUCAAGUUAUGGGAAGAUUCCAUUAAAUUAGAUUAGAGUAGAUUAUGAUCAAAACCCUAGUUCUUAUGAGAUUGGGAGAUUGAAGUAACUUGGAGACCAUUGAAGAUUCAAAGUAGGAGCAAGGAGGGAGCAUCAAAUCUACAUACAAGAGAUUCUAUAUUCUCAUCUUCUUCUUCUAUUUUUGUCUUUGAAUGAUUAUUCAAUUGUGGAUUCUUAGUUUUAAUUCAAUGAACUAAUUCUUUGUUUGAGAUUACAAUGGAUCUUAUUGUGUAGUUUAUUUUAAUAUGUUUCACUAUCAAUUAUUAUGUUCUAUUGUGCGGAUUGUCUAUUGUGAUUUGGAUUUAAUUGCUUAAUUGUCUAGCUAAAAAUUACCGUGAUAAUCUAUAAGAACUAGAGAGAUAAAGUAUUGAUUUAGAUCUUAUCAUGAUAUCAUGUGUUUGUGAUUUCUGCAUAGAUGGAAUUCAUGAUUCGUGUUUAGGAUAGAGAUAUGCCUUUACGCCAUAUGUAAUCUUAUAGAGAACUUGUUCUUUAAAUCCUUUUUAAUUGUAAUUCACAUAGAGAUAUAGUGGAUUAGUUAAUUAGGGUGUCUUGCUUGAUUCUAUCAUCUGUGGAUUUAAGUGAGUAUGGGUAUUAUGCAUCGAGAAAUGGUUUUAUCUGCUUUAGUGUUUUUGAUUAACAAUUCAUGAUAUAAAAUAAUUGAUGAGAAGUGUGUUAACUUAUAUGAAGCAAUAAGUGAAGUUGUGAUCUUAAAUCUCCGUAAUCUUAAUUUAACUAGUAGUCAUUAGAAUUAGUUUAAUUAUAUAAUUUGAAAUUCAUUCGUUUAAAUAAGAUUGAGUUGGUUACGGGUUAGUACUUUGUGAUUUUUAUUAAACAAUUCCUCGUGGGAACGAUACUCUACUUUCACUUUAUUACUUGUUGACCACGUAUACUUGCGUGUUGUGCGUAAUUAGAUUUUAUCCAACAAGUUUUUGGCGCCGUUGCCGGGGAAUUAGUUAAUAUAUUUUUGCCAAUAUUAGCUUCAAUCAAAUUAGUCUUAAUUUAAACAAUUUUUUCCUUUUUAUUUAAUUCUCUUCCUAUUUUUCUUUCUUUUCAGGUAACGUGGCGGAAUUUAAUAAUCAAUGGCCGUAUACGAGAAUGACUCAGUCAAAGGGAUCGGGGAUUGAUGGUCUCAAUGCAUUUUCUGCAAUAUCAGCGCAACUUGAGACACUUUCGAGGAGCCACUACUUGCCUAGCGCGGGGCGCGCUAAGCCGUGUCUAUACCCAGCGCAGACCGCGCUGUUAGUUCCCAGAGGGCACAAUAGAUCUAGAAGGGGGCGGGGGUUGAAUAGAUCCUUUUUAUUUCAAAUACUUUUCUGGUUUAUGUUGUAUUGUUCAUAUUUAAGUAUAUGACAAACAUAAGAAUCUUUUCAAGCACAACGGAAUAAGUAAAAGAUUCCCCUUCAUUGGUAUAUUCAUAAUUAUACAUACAUUGUUCGUUGGGUUGGUUUAGUUGUAAGCAGUUAAAACAUACAUAGCAGUUAUAGCAGUUAUAGACAUAAUGUGAAUGACAUAAUAUAAAAGACACAAGAGUAGCACCCUGAAUCUCUACGAUUCGUUCAAGGCCAGCAUCCUUGGGACUUCAGUUCACUAAGAACUCUUCAAGGCCAGCAGCCUUGGGACUCCUCUAGUUCCCUAGGAACUCUUCAAGCCCAGCAGGCUUGGAACAUCAUUUAGUCCCUUUGGACAAGGACCCUUUGGCCCUGCUUUGUUUAGUCCCUCUGGAUAAGGACCCCUCAGGCCUUGGCUUUGUUGAGUUGUUUGUUUGUUAUUGUUGGAGUCGGUGCUGAGCUGCUAAGAUGUCUUCAUGCUCUGAACAUCUUGUAUCCAUAGCAGCUUGGCUUGAUCAUCCUUGAAGAGCAGUUGAGUGUUGCAUGAUGCUCAGCUUCUUAGGUUGCUCAACUACUCCGGAUGACCCCUUGAUGAACUUCCUUGAAGAUCAUUCUCCUUGGUACUUGAUGGCUGCAUAUGAGAGGCUUCUAAGAUGACUGUAAGCUCUUCUGUAAGGUACAUAGAAGCUUUCUCAUGCUUGACACCAAGAUGGCUUUUGUGAUCUCCCUUCUUGCUACUCGAUGCUUCUCAUGAUGGACUUGCUAAGAUGACUGUAGGCUCUUCUCUAUUGUACUUAGAGUCUUCCCAUGAUGGACAUCCAGAUGGCAUGAUACUCUUCUUUCUCUCGGCAGUUUAGAACACUCUUCAUGUAGUAGAACUCUCACUUCUAUAUAGUAGAACUCACACUUCUACUUCUUGCUUGAUUUGACUUCUGAGUGUUCUUGGUGGAUCGUAGAGUGAGCCUUCGGACUCACUAUCACUUCAUUGGAUCAGUCCACCUUCUCACCAAAAUACACAACUCCAGCAACCUUUGAUCUUUGAAGCUCUUUCUCAUUUAUACUUCUUCCCAACCCUUCCGUUGGAAAGUAACCGUUGAAUGCUAUUCAAAUAUCUUCACAGAUCUCAAGUUGCUUGAUGUAGACUACUUGAUGUGACUUGUCAUACUUUUUUUGAUGCUAAAGUCUACUAUUUCACUUACCCUGUCAGAUGUAUCACUUUUAUGUCUUGGGCAGGUCGAAGACUUUACUUCUUCUGAUUUCUUGAUCAGAGGUUGUCCUUUUGCAUCGAUGCUUUCAAUAAGCACUUGUCCGAAUGUUACCCUUCAGAUUGAACCAUUGCCAAUGCUUCAGUCUUCAGGUAUUCGAACUCUAUGAUUCUGAUGCAUGUCUUCAAGGACCUGAUCGUAGUGUCUUGUUGAUUGUUGUUCGUUGACUAGUAGAGUUAACACUACGAUCCUGAAGAGUGUUGAUUGGAUCUUCAAUGUAGAACACCUCUUCCUUGUAUUGUGAAGUGCUUCAAUACUUUUGUUUGCAUCGACUGUUCUCAGAUACUGAUGGCCUAAUUCCUUGCUCUGGUCCCCUUCUGAAUAUCAAGACACUUCUGAUUUGUGGCGCGUCCAGCUUGCUUUCUCCUGGUGAUCUUCCGCUCACUUAUCAUCAAUGAACUGACCCUGCAUUUAAUCACUUUAGCCUUGCUCUUCCGAAGCUCACUAGUAUCUCGGUUCACCUUCCAUCAGUUCCUUCUUUGUUUGGCAAACACUACGAUCUUGGUUGCUUCCAAGAUCGUUGUCUUCUGUACACUUGAUAGCUACUGCAUAAGCUGACUUUCCUUAAUCAGCUUCUGAAGUCUUCUUUGGAUCUCCUUGUGGAAGACUUCAUCAUGAAUGGCCUUACACCUCAAUCUUAAUGCUGAUUGGGUUUGUGAUGAGAUAUUCUGUUAGCCUGCAUACAAUUCGUUGAGUGCUCUCUGGUUCCCUUACUGUGGAUUGCAUCUUUGCAGUGCCAUCCAGAGGCUUUGUUCCUUUGGAUAUUCUGGGAGUGCUCAUUCGUUGAGAACCGUAUCUGCUCUACGAUUCUGACUUAGCAUUGUGAGCACUUCUGUUGGAGUCAUAGUUCUGCACUCUACGAUUCAGCUUCGGCUGUGCAGACACUACGAUCCCGAGAUCAGAUAUUGACACUCUUUGCCUUGUGCUUGUUGUCUUCAUCUGAUCUUGCCCGACUACGAUCUCUACCUUCACUUAAUGAACUCUACGAACUCAGAGUGUAGUCUACAAUCCUUGACUUUGUUCCCGCAGACGAUCGUUCGGCUCAUAGGCAGGCUGUCUCUAUGAUUUUACACAUAACUUCCUCAGCACACUACGAUCCCGAGGAAGCUCUUCUCGACACACUACGAUCCUUCUUCGUUUCCUCCUUGAAGUCUACGAACUCCGAGAUCUCACUAUCUUGCAUACUCCUAUUCUGCCUCGAUGGCUCCCGAGUUAACUUUGACUCUCCUGGCUAGACCUGGCAAACGGGCGGGCGGGCCCGGGCCGAGCGCGGGUGGGCCAAAAUCAGGCCGGGCUAAAAACGGCCCAGGUUUUAGCGGGCUGAAAAAGUGAGGCCCGUGGCCCGGGUUGGGCGGGCCGGGCCAGCCCGCGGGCUUUUCCUCUUCUUUUUUUUUUUGCAAAAUCUUGAUACACCAAAAAUAGUAUUAAUAAUAAAUAUUAAUAAUAAUUUUAAUUACUUAAAUUAACUAUAUAUCUCAAUCAAUUAAAAUUUUAAUAGUAUUAUAAUUUUAGAUAUUAUUCUAAAGGCAUGAUUUGGGAUAAUGAUUGAUUUACUUUCCAAAUAAGUAGGGGGAAUGCAUAAUUAAGAGAUAAUGAUUGAUUUACUUUCCAAAUGUACUACAAUAAGUAGGGGGAUUACAUAAUUAAGGGAUAAAAUUAUCUAUAUUAUUGUGUAUAGAUUUUGGACUUGCAAUCUAAAAAAUUAGUGGUUGAUUCGGAUUAUAUAUUGCUAGUAAUUCAAAGUAUAUAAUCAAAUUUGAUUCUUUAAAAUUAAUAUAAUUUAUUUAACUUUUAAAAAUAAUAAAUACUGUAAUUAAUACUAAUAUAUAGAUAAUUUUAAAUUUUAUGAUUAUAUUAUCUAACUUAACUAAUAAUUGUUAGUUUAAUAGUUUUAUACUUUGAAAUUAUUAACUACAUAUCUCAAUCAAUUAAAAUUUUAAUAGUAUUUUAAAUUAGUAUUAUUAAUUAAUUACCUACAUUAACUACAUAUCUUAAUUAUAAUUUUCAAAUAUAGUUAAAAUUUAUUGAAGAUUGCAUUAAAAAUAAAUAGUUGUUGUAGCUUAGUUGGUUUGAACUCUUAUUGAUUUACUUAUAAGUCUUGUGUUCAAGCCCUACAAGUAGCAAAAUUUUAUUUAAAUAAAUAAAUAAAUAAACUCACGGGCCACGAGCCGGGCCAAAAACGCCAAAGUUUCCAUGGGCUAAAAAAGUUAAGCCCAAAGCCCUAUUUUUACGGGCCAGCCCGGCCCGGCCCGCGGGCCUGGGCCAAUUUUACCUGGUCUACUCCUAGCAGACUACGACUUCUGGUGCAAUGCUCGACGAUCAGACAAGCCUAUCUAUUACAUCAUAAGAUCAACCUAACAAGCUUGAUCUUUAUAUAUUUAUAGUCUUUGUACAUCAUUUCUUUUUAAGGACUUUACAAAGCUGUCUUUCUUAUGUAGGAUCAACCUAACAUAUUUGAUCAAUUCAUUCUAAGUCCUUGUACACAUAUUUCUAUUAUCUAUCAGAGGACUUUAUAGCUUUUCUUAAUGCAAGCAUACUUGCAUAUUAUUCAUUCAUAUACAUAUAUAUCAUAAUCAAAUCAUAUAUAAAUAGGAAUAGCAUUCACAUGCUUAUUCCUGACAAUCUCCCCCUAUUUGAUUAUGACAAAAAUAAUAAGUGCAUAUGCAUGUUAUGAAUGAAUCUUAUAUACAGUGAGCAGCUGUAUUUCUAAAACAGUUAAUCAUGAAUGUCAUUUAUAUUGAUAUGGCAAUUUAUACAUUAAGACAUUCUACAUCCUGGAUCCAGAACAUUCCUAACAGAUUAGAGAUGUACCUCCUUGGCUCCAUGUGUGUUUCCAGGAUGCUUGUUGAUCAGCUACUCAUCUGAUUGGACUUCUUUUUCUUGCUCCCUUUCAGUAUCUUUCUGUUCUGGCUCCCCCUUAGAUGAGGAUACUCUUUCAGCAGCUACUGUCUCCUUGUUUGACUUCUUCUCUCUUGUCCCUCUGUUCUUCUUCAAGUGCCUCUUGCUCCUCUUCUUUCUAUGCCUCUUUUUCUCCCCCUUUUGUCAUCAAUCAUUUGAGAGAGCUGCUCCAUGUUUGACAUAAGCUGCUCCAUCAGGUAGGAGGAGUUGGCAACUUCAAACUUUAGUUCUUUCUGGCCGAGCUCAAGUUAUACUGAGAAAGUCUGCCUCAUAUCAUCAAUCUUGUAAGAGAGGGCUUCGAUCUGCUCUACAUUGGCCUUCUGAUCUUGUAUGGCUUUCUGAAAGAUGCUAUCUCUCUCUUGGAGUUUGAGAGAUACAUCAGCCAAGAUAGCUUGAAGCUUGUGCUGGAAAGAAUCAUCUCCUGCUGCUGUCUGCUUCUGUGAUUCUUCAGUGAGCAUUGAUAUUUUCUUGCUUAGAUCAUUAGAGCUCUUCAGUAGUUCCUACUCCAUAGUAGUUUGAUCUUCUUGAUUGGCAGCUUCAGGUUGAGCAAUGGAUUAGACUCUACGAUUAUCAUCUUUGGACAGAUUUUCAAAGGUUUGGAUAAUCUGAACAAUCGUGGAGUACCAAUUGCUUGUAGAGGAUGGAGUGUCUGAUAUUAGUGCUGGAUCAUAAGAAGGCUUCUGGUUUUGGACUUGAAUAUCAUCAGCAAUAGAGUGAACAGACUCUAUAAUUUGCUCCUUGGUCAUGACUCUUUUUCCUUCAGAAUCAACUCUACGAUCGUAGGGGAUGUAGAGAUUCCCAGCCUGUCGAUAGACCUUGAAGUGAGGCUGGUUUGUUAUCAUCUUGGUAGCAUAAGUUUUCACCCUUGGAAAGUUUUAGGCUACCAGUUCCAUGCUUGGAAAAGUCUUGUAACACCAGCUGAAGUAACUUCCAUCUCCUUCAGUAAAGGCCUUCAACCAAAGCAUUGAUUGGAAGAACCAUCUCAUCAGUAAAUCAUCAGGGUUGUAGAGAAUGGUUGAUCAGUCUAGCUUCAUGUUGUUCCAGUUCUUGACUAAGUCAUAGGAAGUCAUUCUUAUUACUCUGAGUUGUUCACCUCCAUGGUUUACCCAUCUAUCAGGAGGAGUUUCUGAUGGUUCAUUGGGAGCUUCUACCACAAUUCUCUUGGUAAAUCUUGCAGGUGAGAGAACAGGGUGAAGUUCUGAGUUUUCUGAUUCCUGAUCUUCAGAGUUGGAAUCAUUUCCUGCUUCUUCCUUCUCAGAAGCAGAACCGUUUAGAUCAGCUUCAGCAGAGAGGUCUUCUUGCUGCAUUUCAUGUUCAGAACCUUCUUGAUCAUCUUCAACAGAAAAUCCUUCUUGCUGAGUUUCAUUAUCAGAACCUUCUUCAGGAAGUAUUUCCUCAGAUUUUUCUUCUUCACUGCUGGCUUCAUCUUCAGCACUUUCUCCUGGGGAUACAGACUCAUCAUCACUUAAUUCGAUGAUGGCAUUUGAUUGGCCACUGUUCCUUUUGGAGGCAAACUGGGCUUGCAGCCUGUAGCUUCUCCUUCUUCGUGGAGGUUCAAUUGUUGGAGACACUGACUCUUCUUCUUCUUCAGGCUCUGACUCCUCUUGCUCAACAGACAUACUUCUUUGGAGUUCAGCACUUGCAGGGGCAGAUUCUUUUUUCUUGGACUCAUCACUUUCUGAGCCAUCAUGAGAGCUUUCUGGAUUGGAGGGGACAUUUUCAUCUUCUUCUUGAGUAGUAUUUUCUGACCCAUUCUCUGGGCUCGUUGGGGCAGUGGCAUUUGGGGAUGCGCUUUGGUCACUUUGACUUUCUUUUUCAUCAUCAGAGUUACUUAUCUGAGAAUUGGCCAUGGGGCUUGAGCACUUUUCUUCAUCAGCAGUUUCUGCACUUUCUUUCAUCACAUCAGCUUCAUUCUCAUUAUUGGAUGCUGACUGUGGGGACUGGACCACAUUUUUAGUUUCUUUCUCUUCUGCUGACUCUACGUCCCUUUCUUCAGCAGAUGUAUUGAUUUAAGAAGCUAAGGCUGGUUUGUCAUCCACCUUAGCUUUCUUGCUGACUGGCCCUUGAAGCAACCUGGUGCUUCUUCUUUUUGUGGUUUCAGCAGUUUGGGCCUUUUCUUCUUUGUCCCUGUUCAGGGAGGAGACUCUCAUUGGUGGGACCUGGGCUUUCUUCUCAUCACCAGCUUUCUUCACAACUUUUGAUUUCUUUCUGGCUAGUGUGAUUUCAGCUGCUGUAGAGUCACUGGACUCAGAGCUUUCUGUCUUUACUAUUUUCCUCUUCUUUGCAGAGGCUCUACUGCUGCUCCCAGCUGUCAGCCUUUUGUUUUCCUUGGGGUUCUUCUUCCAGUUUUCAAAUAGCUGUGGAGACAUCACCUUGUGCACAUUCAAGGCUUAUCCCUCAUCUUCCUUGAUUUUCCCUCCUAGUUUCUUCUUCAGAAUGAUACUCAGCAACCUCCCAUGAAAUACCUUGGUCAGUGACUUCUUCUCAGCCUUCUCUACCCACUUAGAGAUUUGAUCAAACAAAAUGGCUCCAAAGUCAAUUUGUUUCUUCAGAACUAUAGCUGAAAUUAUCUUCAGUUGUUGAUCAAUCGCCGUAUCAUGUGCAGUGUUUUUACACAGUAUGAACUUUCCUACAAUUUCAGCAAGGAACUCAUACUCUUCAGGGAACUCCUUCUUCUUCAUGUCUUUGAAGCUAGGGUUUCUUUGGUAUCCCAUCAACUCCUUCGCUUGCUCAAUGUUGACAUCUUCAAGGUUCUUCAGCCCUUGGCUAGGGAAACCUAGGCAUUGAUUAAGGUCAGAAGAUUUCAGCUUUAGAAUCUAACCUUUAACCUUGGUAGAUAGAGUUCUAGAGUUUAUGGAGACGUUUGAGUAGAACUCCUUAACCAGGUCAAUGUAUACACGAGUACUCGCCUCGAGACAUUCUGAAAACCCAGCUUCCUUUACGAGUCUAAGUAUGUCCCUGAACUUCUUCUCAGAUUUCUCAAAUGAUUUGGUUCCAAGCUGAAUGCCGAUGAUAACUUGUCAGUUCUCCAUUUGAAUAGUUCGAAGACUGUGGGUGUUUGAUUUAGAGAGAUAAAAAGAUGACUGACUGAGAUUUGGUAAUGAUAUGGAGGGUUAACUAAUUUUGCUCUUGAAAAGCUUUCUAGGGUUUUGAAAAUGGGAGGGAGAAAGGUUCAAUAUCUUUUGGUAACUAUCUGCAGAUUUGAAAUCGUCUUUAUGGCAGUUCCUUCUAACUCUGCAUACUCAGUGAUGUGUCAACUGUCCAUUGGUUGCAUGUUUCCCAGUAAUAAAAUGUAACUCCCAACAACUUUUCAGUUAUUUGAAGAGUGGACAUUUAAUUGACGUGGCUUUGACGGUUGACCUUUUUAAUUCGUAGAGUGGCAUGAUGAGGCAGCUAUAGACUCUACGAUUUCCUUUGUUGACUCAACGAUCAACUUCUAAGAGAUGCUGUAGUGGAUUGUUUUGUCUUUCCUCCUUACUUUGAUGCAGCAUAGCUCAAUCACUGAUGUAUUCGAACUUAUCUCCUCAACUUGAAUGGCUUAGUAGAUGUCUUAUUCUUCCGGUUCCUUGUGAACUGGUGUACCCUUUGAUAGGAAUACAAUCGUUGAUUUAUCCUCUACGAUCGCUGAGGUUGCACUACGAUCGUUUAGUACUCUUCAGACUCAACUCUACGAUCGUUGACUGACUUGGUUCUUUUGAGAUGAACUAGAUCAAGCAUUCCUUCUGGGAUAAGGUAGCUCAGGAAGGGCUAACCUCUUAGAGUGAGCUAAGGGUCAGGUUUAUCCCUGAGGCGCUUUCCAGAUGAAGUGUUAUGGCAAUAAUUUGUAAUAACAUCUCAUUAGACCUUUUCUGAUGGGGAGGUCUUUCUACAAGCUCUGGAUAUCUGUAUUGCUGAAAUUGUGGUGUCCUUCUGCUCUUACACUAAGAUCAUGUGUUUGAUCGUAGGAACUUCACGAUUAUGGAUUGGGUGGCUGAAGGGUUAUCAGUAGUACAUUUUGAGACGUUCCUACUGACUAUGGAUCUUCAUUUGGUUCAUCAGCCACAAAUUUUUGGGACUCUGUAGCUGGUACAUCUCUUCCAGGUUUAAUAGUGAUGUUAUUCCUUAACAGAUCACUGCUCCCCCAUUGUUGAUGCUAUCUUCUCAGAUAGAUGUGAUUCCUUCUUCAUGUUCAUUUGAAGGCUGCCCAGCAUUUUUCCUUCUGACUGGAAUCAUCAUCGUUGCUUAGUUAUCCUUGUAUCGUAGAGAUGAGUAUUUUCAGGAUUGAUCACUCUACGAUCAUUUGACAGCACUACGAACGUAGUCUUUUUUGACAGUCCUUUAUUUUGAGAAGUUCUACUUCGUAAAGAACUCCUUUUGUCUUAAGCUCAAUGAUCUUCUGUUGUGAGCUUCCCUUGAGAAUCCUUUUCGUACAGCAUGCCUUUCUUAAUAUGAGCAUAUAGAAUCCUCUUUAUCUUCUGUUUCAUGGCAUGCUCCCAUAUACAGAUUUGCAGCCAUGUGAGCUCCAUUCCGGUUAGCUCAUAGGGUCUUCAAGGACAGGCUUGGACAUAUAGGAACUUUAUCAGACUCAUUUCUGAACAGUCCUUAGCCUUCUGCUGGUUGAAUCUUCUUGACUGAAGUAUUCUGCUUCAUCAUUCCAUAGAGUGGUCAGACUGACCAAAUACCUACAGGUUUAAAUAUAUUUCUAUUUUUGGUACCCAUAGUUAAAUGGGUCCUGCUAGGUUAGUUUUCUAAACCCCUGUUCCUCUUAUUUGGAUAAUCAUCAUAUUUAUCAUCAACAGACAUAUCCAUACAUGCAACUAUCUUAUGAUAAUACAUUUCAAGAUGCAUGCUGGUGAGUGUGUGUGGGAUAUGGCAUUUAAUAACACAAUCUCUAUCUAUGAUGGUUUCAUCAUUCACUGGGUUAUGUUCACAAUGUUUAAGUGUUCACAGAGUGAGAAUCAGCUCUACGAUUUUAGGAGUAUCUAGUUGAUUCAUUUAGGUGAUCAGUUUCUACAAAUCAGCAAGAUCCUCUUGCAGAACUGACCAUGCUCUGUGUGUUGUCAAACACUUAGAACAUAGGCUUGUACAUACAUACUAACCCAUCAGCAAAGAUUACUUCACAUAACAUUCAUUAGGUCUGUGAUGCUCUUAUGACCCAUUUCAGACUUCUUUCAAGAUAUAAUCUUCAACCUAGAACUUGGAUGGAGAGAAAGUUUAUAGUCAUUUGAGUUUCCAUCCUCAUGUUACUCUCUCUCUUCACCUUUUUAGGUAGAUUAUGACUCCUUGACAUAAUAUUGUUAUAGUUCAUAAGAAGAUGCAAUAAUGAUGUAUAUUUACAAUAGUGAGGAACCGUACCUUUUUACUGUCAGUAACGAAACAGUCAUUUAUUGAAGAGAUACUGAGUUUGGGUAUUGAUGUGCAUGGCUUUACUUUUACUCCUGACAGCUUAUUGCUCUUGCUGACCUUUAAUCAAUCAGUAGUGGUCUUGAAGAUAUAGGCCAAGAGAAUCUCAGCAUUAAGAUCUUUGACAUCUUUGAGUUUACAAAGAUAGCACCCAGUUGUUGGUUGGUCACUCAUAAGUUUGAGAAGAUCUUCUUUCUCCUCUCGAUCAGCAUUUCUUAGUACGCGUGACCUCUUCAUCUUUCAGACUGAUGAAUGCUUUACUCUUUGUCACUGAUGUCUCUUGCUCUCUUUCUCUCGUCUGGACUUCAGACUACAAGAUUGACUGCGGGCUAGGAUUGGUCUUGUUGAUAUAGCAAUCGAGGAUAUGGACCAAUCUGAGCAGCUACAGGUGUAUACACAUUUUUGCCUAUACACAAUAUUUCCAACGUGUGAGCUCUUCUUCAUAUAACAAGUUACUUAUUACUAAACUAAGUUUAGAACAAUGUUAGUGCCUAGGAUCAGACUCAAAGCGAUUAGCUUUUGAAUAAAGCAUGAGAACCUGCUCUGAUACCAAUUGUUAGUUCCCAGAGGGCACAAUAGAUCUAGAAGGGGGGGGGUUGAAUAGAUCCUUUUUAUUUCAAAUACUUUUUUGGUUUAUGUUGUAUUGUUCAUAUUUAAGUAUAUGACAAACAUAAGAAUCUUUUCAAGCACAGCGGAAUAAGUAAAAGAUUCCCAUUUAUUGGUAUAUUCGUAAUUAUACAUACAUUGUUCGUUGGGUUGGUUUAGUUGUAAGAAGUUAAAACAUACAUAGCAGUUAUAGCAGUUAUAGACAUAAUGUGAAUGACAUAAUGUAAAAGACACAAGGGGUUUUAAGUGGUUCAGAGACUCAAGCUCCUAAUCCACUCUUCUGCUUUCAACUAGCAUGAUUUCCACUAAGGAAGGGCAACACUCUGUAUCUCUACGAUUCCUUCAAGGCCAGUAGCCUUGGGACUUCAAUUCACUAAGAACUAUUCAAGGCCAACAGCCUUGGGACUCCUCUAGUUCCCUAGGAACUCUUCAAGCCCAGCAGGCUUAGAACUUCAUUUAGUCCCUUUGGACAAGGACCCUUUGGCCUUGCUUUGUUUAGUCCCUCUAGACAAGGACCCCUCAGGCCCUGGCUUUGUUGAGUUGUUUGUUUGUUGUUGUUUGAGUCGGUGCUGAGCUGCUAAGAUGUCUUCAUGCUCUGAACAUCAUCUAUCCUUAGCAGCUUGGCUUGAUCAUCCUUGAAGAGCAGUUGAGUGUUGUAUGAUGCUCAGCUUCUUAGGUUGCUUAACUACUCCGGAUGACCCAUUGAUGAACUGCCUUGAAGAUCAUUCUCCUUGGUACUUUAUUGCUGCACAUGAGAGGCUUCUAAGAUGACUGUAAGCUCUUCUGUAAGGUACUUAGAAGCUUUCUCAUGCUUGACACCAAGAUGGCUUUUGUGAUCUCCCUUCUUGUUACUCGAUGCCUUUUAAUGAUGGACUUGCUAAGAUGACUGUAGGUUAUUCUCUAUUGUACUUAGACUCUUCCCAUGAUGGACAUCCAGAUGGCAUGAUGCUCUUCUUUCUCUCGGCAGUUCAGAACACUCUUCAUGUAGUAGAACUCUCACUUCUACAUAGUAGAACUCACACUUCUACUUCUUGCUUGAUCUGACUUCUGAGUGUUCUUGGUGGAUCGUAGAGUGAGCCUUCAGACUCACUAUCACUUGGUUGGAUCAGUCCACUCUCUCUCCAAAAUACACAACUCCAGCAACCUUUGAUCUUUGAAGCUCUUUCUCAUUUAUACUUCUUCCCAAUCCUUCCCUUGGAAAGUAACCAUUGAAGGCUAUUCAAAUAUCUUCACAGAUCUCAAGUUAUUUGAUGUAGACUGCUUGAUGUGACUUGUUAUACUUUUUCUGAUGCUACAAUCUACUAUAUCACUUACCCUGUCAGAUGUAUCACUUUAAUGUCUUGGGCAGGUCGAAGACUUUACUUCUUCUGAUUUCUUGAUCAGAGGUUGUCCUUUUGCAUCGAUGCUCUCAAUAAGCAGUUGUCCGAAUGUUACCCUUCAGAUUGAACCGUUGCCAAUGCUUCAGUCUUCAGGUAUUCAAACUCUAUGAUUCUGAUGCAUGUCUUCAAGGACCUGAUCGUAGUGUCUUGUUGAUUGUUGCUCGUUGACUAGUAGAGUUAACACUACGAUCCUGAAGAGUGUUGAUUGGAUCUUCAAUGUAGAACACCUCUUUCUUGUAUUGUGCAGUGCUUCAAUACUUCUGUUUGCUUCGACUGUUCUCAGAUAUUGAUGGCCUAAAUCCUUGCUCUGGUCCCCUUCUGAAUAUCAAGAUACUUCAGAUUUGUGGCGCGUCCAGCUUGCUUUCUCCUGGUGAUCUUCCGCUCACUUAUCAUCAAUGAACUGACCCUGCACUUAAUCACUUUAGCCUUUCUCUUCUGAAGCUGACCAGUAUCUCGGUUCACCUUCCAUCUGUUCCUUCUUUGUUUGACAAACACUACGAUCUUGGUUGCUUCCAAGAUCGUUGUCUUCUGUACACUUGAUAGCUACUGCAUAAGCUGACUUUCCUUAGUCAGCUUCUGAAGUCUUCUUUGGAUCUCCUUGUGGAAGACUUCAUCAUGAAUGGCCUUACACCUCAAUCUUAAUGCUGAUUGGGUUUGUGUUGAGAUCUUCUGUUAGCCUGCAUACCAUUCGUUGAGUGUUCUCUAGUUCCCUUACUGUGGAUUGCAUCUUUGCAGUGCCAUCUAGAGGCUUCAUUCCUUUGGAUAUUCUGGGAGUUCUCAUUCGUUGAGAACCGUAUCUGCUCUACGAUUCUGACUUAGCAUUGUGAGCACUUCUGUUGGAGUCAUAGUUCUACACUCUACGAUUCAGCUUCGGCUGUGCAGACACUACGAUCCCGAGAUCAGAUAUUGACACUCUACAAUUUCUGCCUUGUGCUUGUUGUCUUCAUCUGACCUUUCCCGACUACGAUCUCUGCCUUCACUUAAUGAACUCUACGAACUUAGAGUGUAGUCUACGAUCCUUGACUUUGUUCCGGCAGACGAUCGUUCGGCUCAUAGGCAGGUUGUCUCUACGAUUCUGAACAUAACUUCCUCAACACACUACGAUCCCAAGGAAGCUCUUCUCGACACACUACGAUCCUUCCUCUUUUCGUCCUGGAAGUCUACGAACUCCGAGAUCUCACUAUCUUGCAUACUCCUAUUCUGCCUCGAUGGCUGCCGAGUUAACUUUAACUCUCCUGGCAGACUACGACAUCUGGUGUAGUGCUCGACGAUCAGACAAGCCUAUCUAUUACAUCAUAAGAUCAACCUAACAAGCUUGAUCUUUCUAUAUUUAUAGUCCUUGUACAUCAUUUCUUUUUAAGGACUUUACAAAGCUGUNNNNNNNNNNNNNNNNNNNNNNNNNNNNNNNNNNNNNNNNNNNNNNNNNNNNNNNNNNNNNNNNNNNNNNNNNNNNNNNNNNNNNNNNNNNNNNNNNNNNAUAUAUAUAUAUAUAUAUAUAUAUAUAUAUAUAUAUAUAUCAUAAUCAAAUCAUAUAUAAAUAGGAAUAGCAUUCACAUGCUUAUUCCUGACACGCGCUACUCGGGAAUAUCAGACACUGAACAGAUGUAGGGACGUGUUCUAGACUGAUCCAAGCCACCUCUCCUUAAUACAUGCAACUUCUCCACUUCUCCUACACCCAUUACACUUCAUAUCGUUCAUAACCCCCAUUACACCAUCUUUACUUCUCCUUCUCCUUUUCAACUUCCAUUCCUAUUAAACCAGUCCAUCCCCAUCUUCCUAACCACAUUGGUUUUCCAUCCCCUAUAUGAACUCCAACCAUCCAAGAAGUCAAUUUCCUAUCAGUUAUAAACACAACAAUCCAAUCCUAAAUCUAAUCCAUUCCAUGCACAAAUUCAUUCAAAUUGGGACAUCUUUACAAAGAGGGAACCCCAAAAUCAUUUAAGGCAUAUAUACGGCAUGGGCUGCACUGCUCGGACAUCCCAGGCAUUAAAAGUGGUUUAUUUCCAAUAUUAGUCAAGUCCAACUCAAGUGUGGUUCCCGAUUUAUUCCAAUGUGUCUGGCCUAUUCUUCAGACUUAGCAGACAAGGCGGGAAUGCGGUAUUUUUAGGGAAGUCCUCACUUUUAAUUUUUCCUAUCUUAGCCAUUGAGGACAAUGUCUAGUUUAAGUUUGGGGGCAUUUUAGUGUCGUAUUGCAUAUAGUUAGUUAUUUACAUUGUAGUUCGUAUAGUUAUAUUUAGUUUUUGUAUUCUUGAAAAAAAAAUUGAAAAAUUGAAAAAUUAGUAGUUAGUUUACUAUGUUUAUAUAGCAUUUGGUACAUCUUGCAUGAGUCCAGCUGCUUGAUAUUUACAGUUUGUUUUGGCUAAUGAUGAGAUUUGAAUUGGGUAGACAAGUAUAGCACUGAUUAUUAGAGCUUUGAUGUGAUUUCCUGUUAGGAAUUGAGUCUUUUUCUGUUUCAAACUGGUAUAAUAAGGAUAGCACAGUAAAAAUAGCUUAUUGAAUGAUUGAGUUUAAAUUGAUACAUAAAGGAUCUCUAAAGGAUAAUGCUAGUUUAAAUAAGAGAAUAACAAGGAUAGGCAGUAAAGGCGAAUAAUUAGGCAAGAACCUAAGUUUGGGGGAAAAAGUGGGGUAUAUAAGCUUCUAAGAAAAGGAAAAAAAAAAGAAAAGAUAUUGAGUUGAAUAAAUUGAGUCAUGUGGUGGGUCGAGAAGAAGCGUGAAAUGCACUCCCCAUAAACACAGGCGUGAGAUGGAGCGUAAAACGCACUCAUUAUCCAUCAUUCAAAAAGAAAAAGAAUAAAAAGGGAAAUAAGAGCAAAAAGCCCACGUAGAUGAAAAAUGAAGUAUAAGUAUCCCAUGUUGACCCUCGAUAUUAGUAAUUGUUUAAUUUUAGAUGGAUCUAACUUGUUUUUGGAUUUCUUGAGUGUACACUGUAUGAUGCCUUCGAAGAGACUUAUUAUAUGUUAAAUUUGAUUUUAUAUCAGCUAACAUUGUUGUGGAGCACACACGCACUAUAUUGGUGAUAACAGUCUAAGAUUUGAUGAUUGAUUGAGAAGUUAAUGAUUUGUUUUGAUAUGAUGUAUUAUUAUGUUUACUUGAUUUCUCUAAGGUCGGUUGAAUAGACUUGUUUUUGUCAUUACUGCUGGAUUCAUAGGCAUGUAAAUUAGUUGCAUUGCAUAGCAUUGUUGUUUUGUGUUUUUGCUUGAGGACAAGCAAAUGUUUAAGUUUGGGGGUAUUUAAUAAGUAGGUUUUAUACCAACUUAUCCGGUAUCUAUUACUUGAAUUAGUUGCUUAAACCUAUGUUUCUUAGUUCCUUUUCAUAUAUUUUAUGUUAUUUUGUAGGCUAUGACAUAACAUUGGCAUGAAGAAGCAAGGGAAAGCAAUUCGGACAUCUUUUGGACCAAAAUACACAAGCAAAUACAAGAAGAGAAUAUUUAAGGACUUUUAACACCAAGUUGGAUGAAUGUUCUUGGCUUUGAGUUUGGAAUUUAUUGUAGAUCUACUUCUUAGCUUUCCGUAACAUCUUGAAUCAUCCCAAUCGGAGUUCGGAUGCGAGAGUUAUGGCCUUUUUGUCAACAAAGAUCAAAGCUAAGAGUUGUCAUGUUUGCCAUUUACAUAGCAUCUACUUCAAGCCCAAUUUCCUCCUUUCUCCGGAUGGAAUCUAUCAAUCCUCAAAGAAUGAAAGGUGUAUAUCUCGUCGAUAUCUUCGAUUUGAUAGGUGACACACCCCGUAACUCCAAGCGGAUCAAAGGUUAUGCCUGUUUUACCAAAGGACAUCGCAGCAGAAAACAGCGUAGCGCGGACCGCGAUAUAAAUGAACUAUACAUAGCGCGGGGCGCGCUAGUCCACCAGAGUGUCGAUCACUGCAGCACGGGGUGCGCUAGGCGGCGAGGGGACAACUUUUUUGGGUUAUUUGGUGUCCAAUUUGAGCUAGAAUAGGAUUCUUAGUUGCCUAACUUGCUAGGAUGUCCAUUAGAACUAUAAAUACAUGAUGAGAGACAUAAAAGAGGAGAGAUAGUCUAGUUAUGGGAGGAUUCUAUUAGAUUAGAUUAAAGUAGAUUAGGAUCAAAAUCCUAGUUCUUAUGAGAUUAGGAGAUUGAAGCAACUUGGAGACCAUUGAAGAUUCAAAGUAAGAGCAAGGAGGGAGCAUCAAAUCUACAGACAAGAGAUUCUAUCUUCUCAUCUUCUUCUUCUAUCUUUGUCUUUUAAUGAUUAUUCAAUUGUGGAUUCUUAGUUUUAAUUCAAUGAACUAAUUCUUUGUUUGAGAUUACAAUGGAUCUUAUUGUGUAGUUUAUUUUAAUAUGCUUCACUAUCAAUUAUUAUGUUCUAUUGUGCGGAUUGUCUAUUGUGAUUUGGACUUAAUUGUUUAAUUGUCUAGCUAAUAAUUAUCGUGAUAAUCUAUAUGAACUCGAGAGAUGAAGUAUUGAUUUAGAUCUUAUCAUGAUAGCAUGUGUUUGUGAUUUCUGCAUAGAUGGAAUUUAUGAUUCGUGUUUAGGAUAGAGAUAUGCAUUUAAGCCAUAUGUAAUCUUAUAGAGAACUUGUGCUUUAAAUCUUUUUUUAUUGUAAUUCACAUAGAGAUAUAGUGGAUUAGUUAAUUAGGGUGUCUUGCUUGAUUCUAUCAUCUUUGGAUUUAAGUGAGUAUGGGUAUUAUGCAUCGAGAGAUGGUUAUCUGCUUUAGUGUUUUUGAUUAACAAUUCAUGAUAGAAAAUAAUUGAUGAGAAGUGUGUUAAGUUAUAUGAAGCAAUAAGUGAAAUUGUGAUCUUAAAUCUCUGUAAUCUUAAUUUAACUAGUAGUCAUUAGAAUUAGUUUAAUUAUAUAAUUUGAAAUUCAUUCGUUUAAAUAAGAUUGAGUAGGUUACGGGUUAGUACUUGGUGAUUUUUAUUAAACAAUUCCUCAUGGGAACGAUACUCUACUUUCACUUUAUUACUUGUUGACCACGUAUACUUGCGUGUUGUGCGUAAUUAGAUUUUACCCAACAAGGGACAUACCUCUCUUUAUUGUCCCCACUAUAAGCAAGGUACAUAUUUUAUUUGUGGGAUAGAAGGUCAUCAAGCGAAAGGUUGUCCAAGAUCAAGAAAAAGGCGUAGUGAACCAGUAGUAUAAGUACUGUUAGAUUAUGUGUGUUCUAUGUAAUAUUCUCAAACUUUUGCAUAAGUUGUAGCAGUAAAUCCCGACUUUUGUUGUCGCUAAGGGAUAACAAUAUGUGUUAUGUUAUGUAAAGUGCUAUGACUUAGUUGAAUGAAUAUGAAUCUAUGUUUGAUUGAUGGAAUAAGUUUUGUAUUAAACUUCGUGUUAUCUGUUAAACUUAUACAAUAAGGUUUAGAAUGUAAGUUAAAUUUAUGGUCUUAUUUAACUAGAUAAUGCCACCAAGACGUCGAACUCGAAACCAAAGGGCAGAAGAAUCUGUCAACAACGCUGAAGGACAACAACAUGACCCAAUGCAAAACUUUGCGAAUAUGGUAGCUCAAGCUAUGUAACAAGGAAUACCAGCCGCGAAAACUCGCCAGACAAUCGUUUGGCGAACUUCAAAGAUUUUAAGGUUGUAGCACCGCCAGAAUUCAGAGGUUAAACUGAACCUGUAGAAGCCCAGACUUGGGUUAAGGAAAUUGAAAAGGCGUUUGUAAUAGCUAGGGUAGCUGAGGGGCAAAAGAUAGCUUUUGCCACCUACACGAUGAAAGGGGAGGCAAACUUUUGGUGGGAAGCAAAUCAAGCUAGGGCAGGAGAAGGAAUAGGUUCAAAACUUUGUUUUUCUAAAAUUAUUUUUCAUCUAGUAUGCAUGCUAGGAUGGAGGUGAAGUUUCUGGAAUUAAAGCAGGAGAAUAUGACGGUGUCAGAAUACGCCGCAAAGUUUAAUGAAUUAGCUAGGUUUGUUUCGCAUCAAGUUGAUACGGAGGCGAGGAGGUUCGAGCUGGGAUUAAAACCCUUGCUCUACAACAAGGUGGCGGUGUUGCAGAUCUCUACAUUUGUAGCACUCAAGGAAAAAGCUAUUAUAGCUGAGGAGGGGAGUGAGACUAUGAGCCUCUAAAACAAGGAAAAAAAGAAACAAGGGCAAGGUCGUAGGAGCUGAGAAGGUGGAAACUAAUAGUGGGAAUAGGGGUGAAAAGAGGAAGGGGAACUAUUUUGGAAAUAUUCAGCUGAAACAAGAAGGUGUGAAGAAACAGACUGUGCAGUGUAAGAAUUGCGAGAAAAAUCAUUUUGGUGAGUGUCUAAAGGGUAGGUUUAUAUGUUAUAAGUGCGGGCAGGAGGGCUAUAUCUCUUCCAACUACCCCAAUCCAAGGAUGAACACUGGGUGUUUUAUAUGCGGGUCAAUGGAGCAUAAGGUGAAGGAUUGUCCAAAAAGGAGAAUGAAGGCAGGGAGUGUGACUACUGGGAAAGGCAGCCGGACUCUGGCGAUCACAGGACUGACUUCAUCAAACAAACCAACAAAAUCAACCGUGAGAGUCUUAAACAUGACAGUCCAGGAUACCAUGGUAGCUGGUGAAGGAACUCCAGGUAUUAUUCGAAUAACUUUUAUUUUCUUAUAUAUGAUUUUCCUAUAUAUAGUAAAUUAUUUUAUAAAGAAAUUUUGAAGGAGGAAUUUGAGUUCUAUUAUGAAUCAAAUUUUUCCGUUUAAUCAGAUAGACAAGGGCUACGUUGAAUAGUUAAAGAUCAGUUCGAUCAAGUAUGAUUGAGAUCGACUUGCAAUGAUUGUGUAUGCUAUGUACCCUUGUAUGUAUAAGUUUUAAAUUGGUGAUUCUGGGGCCGGAAUCUGUGUAAGGGAGGGUGAAUGUAAUAACUCGAUAUUUUCUAUAUAAAUAAAUAAGAAAUUUCGCAUAUAAUUUUUUUUAUUUUAAAGGAGGGAAUUUGAGCCAGGUAAUGGGUAUGUAUAUUGUGAGAAAUAAAAAAAAAUUAUUUAUUUCCUGAAUAAUUACAAAUAAGUUUUUAAAGAUUUAUAAAUCAUUAUAAACUAUAUUUUUAUAGUAAUUAAUUUUAUAGUAGAAAUAUUUUUAUUAAUUAUUUUCCAUGAAAAUAUGAUUAUUAUAUUAUUUAAAUAAUAUAUGAAAUGAUUAUAAAAUCAUUAUAAUAAUUGUAACGCCCGAGAAAAUCGGAUUUUUAGGAGAAUUAAAAAUUUUAUUUAAUUAUGUGGAUUAAAUGAAUUUAAUUGAUUAUUUAUAGGAGCAAGCUAAUUGAAGUCAUUCUAUGACCUAAACAUAUCGGAACAUCGUAGUAUUUUGGCUACGUGGUAGAAUGAAAGUGUUUGAAUUUCCAAGACGAAAAUAAAAGCUUUUCGGGAAAUUUUUUGAAAAACACUAUUCACGCAUUUCUGCUCGGGAAUUAUUUUUGAACUUCUGAGAAAUACGUAACGAUAGAAUAUCAAGGUGAGAUUGAAUAUCCAAUAAUAUUUCAGUUAUGGAAAAUGUAAUAUUUCGCCUGUGGACUUAAUUUGAGAACGUUAGUAAAAUCAAGCAUUAAGAAGUUAGUGAAAUGAUUGUAUAAUACUUAGGUAUUGUACGAGGUAGGGAAUACGAAUAUGAUACAAAGUAGUAUACGAGUAUGUAUGGAUGAUGGUAUAUCGUAUAUGAUGAAUAAGUAUAUGAGUUAGGAUACGAGAAUUAUACAUAGAGUAUAUGUUAUAAGGCUUUAAACCAUUUGUGAAUAGACUUGUGGAUUAUGUGGGAUGUACAAAUCCAAUAUGAUUUAAUAUUAAAGUCCAAAGGGAAGUGUGACAAGGCCCAAAUGUAAGAAUGGUUAAGUCCAAUAUAAGUUAAUGAACAAGCCAAGUGUUUGUUUAAUUACAAGCCCAAUGUAUAAGUUAAGUUAAAUUAACUAAUUAAGCUAAAGCCCAAAGUAAGAACCAAGGGGUUAUGGGUUGGUUUAAACCCAUGGUUUAAACCAUGGGUGAUCCAAAGUGAUAAACAAGUAACUUAAUGCUUAAGUGUUGUGAUGGGCAAGCAAAUGAUAGAAGUUGUGAUAAACAAGUUAACUUAAUGGCUAAGAUAAGUGGUGAGCAAGUGAUUUGGUGGUUAAGUAGAUGUGGUGGCCAAGUUAAGUUAAUUAGGAAGUAAUGAAUAGUAAGGAGGUGGAUUAAGGAGGUGGAGGUGGAUUAUUGACCAUUAUGCCCUUACUUAGGAUUUCCUAUAAAUAGGAAGCUUGCUAGCUCAUUUGUUCCUUGUUCAAAACACCAACAACUUAUUGGUUAGAGAGAAUAAGUGAGAAUAACCUAGAAAGUUAGACCUUUCAUUAUUUAAAUAAGCAAGAAGCAAGAAGAAGAUUAAGGCUUAGCAAGUGAUCAUCAAAGGGUAAGCCAUCUUGAACCAUGAUUCACUUUCUGUUCCAUUGUUAGAGAAGUGGGUGGUGGUAGAACAUGUAUGCUAAGAAGGGGUUGGAAUAAUGAAUCAAAGGGCUUAAGUAUUAAUAAGCCAUAAUUAAGUCAUGUUGUAAGAUAAGCAAUUAAUGAAGUUAUGAACUUAAGAAGAACUUGUAAAAUCUUGUAACAUGUUAACAUUAAUGGAAUUGGUAUGAUAAUAAGAAACAAUAAUGGUGGUUAAAAGAUUAAGAUCAUGAUAAGUCAUGGAAUCAUAGUAAGUAAUUUAUAUUUUCAUAAGUUACAAACUUAUAAAGAACAAGUAAUAACUUAUCAUGAUUAUAAGUUAAUGAAGUAAGUAUGUUAAGAUGUUAGUAUGAUGAAUUGAAUCCAUUUGAAACGAAAAACAAAUCUUAAGUAACGAAGUUUCGCCGGAAUUCACACGAUUAGACGACCAUCGUCGAAUUCGUGAAAUUCUCGGAAUGAAAGUCCAAUUUUGAUAUUUAGCUUGGAAACGUUGGUUUUCAAUGGAGACAAGUCUUAUUUGGCAUUAUAGAGUUGCGGACUCGAAAAUGACCGGAUUCCGACUUAGAACGAAGAAAUGAGCGUUGAACGUUCAUGAACGUUUAUCGUUUUCGUUAAAAAUGGACUAAUAGGUAAAAUUUUAGCAAACAAAGUCGAAUAGAUAAAAUUCUUGCAUAAACACGUAGAGUAUGUGAUUUGUGAACUAUAUGUUCUUGAACGAGCCAAUUCGGACUUAUAACGAAGAAGUUACGAGUCCGGGAAUCUCACAAUUUGAAAAAUCUGUCAAAAUAAUAUGUGGAAUAGAGUCCGCGCCGCGCCGCGACUCCAAGCCAAUUAGCCGGCGCCACAGCGCCAAAGUGAGCCUCGGCCCCUGCAAACUCGCGCAGCAGCGCGACCCAUAAUGAAGGGACUCGCGCCACAGCAUCGAGUCCGGGUUUCUAGUAGCAACAUGUGGCGCCGCAGCGCGGGACAAAGAGUAAUAAUCGGCGCCGCAGCGCCAGCCUUAAAACCUAGACAUUAAAGAAUGGUUGCAAGUAGAACUUGAAUGGAAAUUGUUUAACAAUGAACUAAUGGACUUAAUAAAACAUUGUUAAGUCAUAACUAAACCUCAAGUGCGAUCACUUAGAGUUAAAGAAAGCUAAUUGAAUGUAAACAGGAACGGUGUACAAUAAGUGUACAUAACCAAUGCCGAUUAAGUGUCAAUUAAUAACGUACAGACGUUAGUAUACUGUGAGGAAUGAUAAUUAACUCAAACCGAGAUGUAAUAAUGGAAUAAUUUCAAUUAAGUUAUAUAAGAAAAAGAACUUGGUAAGAACGAUGUAAAAGAACGACGGUAAGCCGGAACCAAUAAUAACAAAUCUAAUACAUGAUUAGAUUAAGAAGAAGGGUAAGAUUGUUUAGGAACUAGGUAUGUUCAUUCAUGACCUAAUGUGGUAUGUUAUGUGGUUAUAUGUUGUAGAGACCGUAAAGACUCAAAGGAAACAUAAUUUUACUGUAGCAAACGCUGAAGGCAAGUUUUUCUAAACGCUUGUCUAACCUUCGUGUUAGCCGGGUUUUCAAAUGAUUCAAGUUAUGAGAUGCAUGUAUGGUUUUAAAUAAAGAGUCAAGGCCCGUUUUAACUCGGCUAGACUAAUCUUAAUAGAUUGAUUGAUAUUUUUACAAAUCUUUCAAUAUAGAACUGCCAACGCUAUCCUACGCCAAUUGUUUGGUACGGAUUCAAGGUAAGCCUGAAUAUGAAUAAACAAAUAUAUAUUUCAUCGAGUAUUAGAUGGGCAUGUGAGGUUGUCACAACUUAAACGUACACACGUUUAAUGGAUGUAGUGUUGAUCAACAUAGAGUACUAUAGGCUGAUCACAUAGAAGUGCUCGUAAGAUAUGUCAGACUUACAGACUUCGUGCCGGGUUGUCCUUUUCAAAGAAAAUAUGAAAUACUCAUGGUCUUGGACCAGAAUUAAUGAAUUACUGAAUAUUGUUGUUGUAAAACAUUUUGAAGGAAAAGAAAUGCUAUUUUGAAUUAUGGAUAGUACUUCGUAACUAUUAUCCAGUUCUUGAAGAUAUACGAUUCCUAUGUUUCAAGCAUGCUUUUUAAAUGAAAUUGUUGUACUUGUUGAGCUUGUUAUGCUCACUCUUGCUUGAACCAUAUGAAUGCAGUUUAGACCGAAUGGACCAAAGGAUUCGACAAGGAUAAAGGGAAGGCUAAAGCAAACUUAUAGAUUACCUAUGUAAUAGUAUAGGUUUGUAAUGAUAAUAUUUGAUAUUAUGACAAGAACAAAUGUAACGGUUAUAAAGAACCUGGAGAAUGGUAGUAUUGUUUUGGAAUAUAUAUAAGACAUAUUCGUUCUUUUGAGGCAUUUCAAUUAAAUGUUUGUGUGAACUGUAGCACCGUGGAG